rnacentral:lncRNA from 1 species
GCCCAGUUGAUGCGAGUGAGAGGCGGAGCCCGAUACACGAUCCACUUGGCCGAUCACACACGCAGACACGCAUUGUACUGCUACGAGAGAGCUCCCAUGUUAAGCUAAAGUUACUAAGCUACUUUCCCAGUAAACCCCCUGCAUUGUAUAAGAAUCAGACUAAACCACUCCCUCCCAAGGCGGGAAGUGCUAGCCCUCUCCCUCUGGUAUGGUCACCUGCCGCAGAACCCCUCGUCGAUUAGUCGCGGGCUUACUUGCAAGAAUACCUCAUGCCGUGAGAUCCAAACGAAAAAAAUGCCCUAACACUGUACUCCCAGUAGCCGCAGCAAAUGCCAUUCACCGCUACAAAGCCACCUCCCAGUAGCCGCAGCCUCCCACUCUACUUCGCACGCACGCACGCACCCACCACACUCGUCCACUCGCCUACGCUUCUCUGGGCCGGCCGGCCGGGGCUUGCUUGCACGCGCGCGACGCCAUGGACGGGCAGGACGGCGGCCAGGGCCGGAGGAGGAAGCCCGACGGGAACCGGAACCCCAAGCGAGGCAACAUCAUCAAGACGAUCAUCAACGACUUGACCGGCGGCGGCGGCGGCGCCCCCGCGACCUCCGGCGGUGGUGGCGGCGGCGGCGGCGGGGGUGGGAACGGCGACACCGGCAACGGCGGCGGCUCCUAGCGAUCGAGCAUGGCUGCGCGCGCGCGCGCGUGCGACGAGAUGGUUAGUUUGAGCCUACUGGACUGUUGAAUAAUGCGUCUCGUUGUGCGUGUGGCGGUUGUAGAAAGAGCGGGCCUGUGUUCGUGCCUGGUUGUGUGUGUGCGUAGCUUAAUCGUGUUCUGUAGAUCUUGAUUAAGCACUCAUGGGUGUCGCCCGCGCUGGCCAUCUAAGAAAUGCUUGUACUUGGAUCUGAUCUGAUCUAUGGCUUAUUUUAUGUAUGCUCUUCUUGCUUGCUGCUGCUUGUGCUGCUGAUCUGCUCUUGCUGUUCUUUUGUGGAUGCACCUAUGGAUCGACCGCCCGCGUCGAUGGAUUCGGUGUUCAAAUUCUAAGACAUUAGGGUUUAGGCAUCGGCAAUUUCAUGGCGCUCCUUUUUGUUGCCAUGUUUGUCUAGUGUAAGUAAAAAUACACCUAAAUCUUUUUUUAGGAAAAAAAAUACACCUAAAUCAAUUGUUCAUCCAGCCCUGUGGGCAUGUGAUAAUUGAGGCUAUGCAUUCAUUAAUUUUCUCGACAAACAAAUGAUCAAGCGACCUUAUCUAGAAUCUUCAGUUUCGCUUUGUCUGCAUACAUUAUCCUGACUCCCCACUCCACAUCUCGUACAUCUCAAAAUGGGCGUGCCGUCCCACACGUGCUCCACAUGAGCUUCGUACGAAGCUCCGAUGAACAUUACAAUAACCUCACCUCACAUGCAUCUAUCAUACCAUACGAGCUUGAUCAGUUCAGGGUUAUAACUUAUAGAAAACUGAUUAGGUGCCCAAAAUGCAUGAGUGGACAUGGUAUCACGUGAGGAUGGUACCCACCCCACUCAUCUAUACGUGCUUCGUUUUGUAUUCACACCGCCGAGCAUAUAUAAUUAUCCUAGCAGCCAAGGAAUCUUGUAUAUGUUAAACAUCCUAAUUGUGUACGUGACAGGGGCGACCAGAGCAUCUUCAACCUUGAGCAAUCUUCACAUGAUAAUCAGAUUCUCCCUCUUCCGUCAUAUCUAGCCUUCACCACACCAUCCCUAUUACCAAGCUCGCACCAUGUCCUCCUUCUCCGGCUCCCCUCUGUCCGGCCUGUCCAGCGGCAGUUGGCCUCGCCCUGCGUGCUGCAUGCUUGGUCAGCAUGUGCCCAGUACGUGAUGAAAAAUAUAAGUUUAGAAACUACAUCCAUAACUAGUUAAAUUCUUAACCUAGAACAACAUGCAUGUCCUGUAAACCGAGACGGAGGAAGUAGUUGUUUGCCAAGAAGUUUGUGCUGUUGACGGGAAUAUACGUGAAAUUAAAUUUCAAGUGCAUAAUUAUGUGUUUAAAAUCCAAAGACUAUAAGCAUCGAGUGGAAGGGGCGAUUGUGAGCUAGAUACACCAUUAAUAAAGGUGGUGAACUUGAAUUCAAGAGGCAGAUACACAAAUAGUGGGAGGAGGAUGAAGAACAAUAAGAAAAAGAAUAUAGCGGUAAACAAAUAAUGCCAAUCUGAUGCGCAUGAGAAUUCAUGUCCGACACUGUUAGUGUUAAACCACCAGAAUAUAUAUGUUCCUGUAGCAACGCACGGGCAAUUAUCUAGUAUGGAAAAAGACGACAUCUCCGUGUCAUGUCAUCACAUUUAUUAGAGACCGAUGAUAAUACUGAGGUGGCUCUAAUUUGCAUGUGGAAAAUAAUAAACAAUUUGGAUUAUAUUUUUUUGCAGGGAAGAAACAAUUUGGAUUUAGUAGGAUUUGAAUCCAGAGGAAUUUUUUGAGAGUAUGCGGCCAUACUUUUAUAAAAGGCAGAAUUUCAAAUACAAGAGGGCUACAACUUGUUGCGAACAACGAGCCUAGUGUGAGCGCACUUGGUUGAUCCACAAAAGCCACCGUCUUGGACUCACCGGCGAUGACAUACAUUGUGCCACUAAAGAUCACCUUGAAAAAUGGCGAGCACCGGAAGUAGCGCAACAUGGAACCUCAAGACCAUGUCUUCAAGCGCGGUGCUCCCAACAGAGUGGCGACACCAAAGACGCCGCCAUCGCGUUGAUUCAACUCCGAACCUAAGCUUUCGCUAGAAGACAACUACCAAUCCCGAGGGCGAGCGAUGGAGAUGCUGACUCACCUUGGUGGCGCCUCCAAGGAGGGGAACGACACCCAUCGGUGUCGUCGCCGCCAGCACCGACCGAGUGCGUGCAUGAAUUUCUUCCGAAUCGUUGCACACCUCAUCCCUUCCCACCGGGUUGGGGCACACCAUCCAAGUUGACAACUUCGUUGUCGCCGCAUCACUUCACCAGCAUAGUUGAGAUGUCAAGGCCACCCAAGACCCACACAAACAGGAGCACACAGCCCAAACACUAGCAUCCCCACGAUUGAGAACUCCACUGAGCUGCCUCCAGGCCCGAUUAAGGUUCAUCGGAAUUGCAUACCACAACCAUCUGGCCAACUCCUGGUAGACGCCCAUGCCGCGGCCCUAUGUCCUAGAUCUGGCCCAUCCAGCCCGCGCCGCCUCCAACACCUCCGACCACGAAUCGUGGAGGAGGCACCAGGAGGCGCCAUGAACCAUCGUGCUCAGCGCUGCAAGCGCAACAACUCCUGGCCGAGCACCACCAUGCCGCCAUGGCCGAGCUACGCCGACGUCUCCUCCAGGAAGAGCCACCUUCCGGACCCUACUCCUCUCACGAGCCCCAAUCGCGCACCUCCACUCUGUUGUGAACUCCGCCAUGCACCGUCUCACCAGCACCAAAGCCCGCGACGAGCAGCACUACGACCCCAUAUUGCUGGCCCGCCGAACACCAGAUCCCUCCGCCACCAGCCGUCAACGGAUGUACGUGGACGGCAGCGAGGGAGGGGGCAGGGAGAGGAGGCGGCGACAGUGGUUGUUAGGGUUUUCGCCCGAGCCGCCCCUAGGAGGGGAUGGGGGAGGGAGGAAUCAGAGGAAUUCAUUUGAUCAUUUUGAUGUAGGUGCGUGCAGACAGUAGUGUCAUGUAUCUAGGGUUGGUUUGGUUUGCACCGUGAGAUCCAUGCUGAAAAAAAAUUGAUGCCUGGCAUGGGCGUGCAAAGUUGAAGUUUUCUGCCUGCCCAGCUAGCCAUGCAAGAUGCAGUGGUGUGUUUGGUUUCUACCCUGACCUGCUGCUUUGUCCUUUUGUGAUUAGAAAACCUUUUUCAGACAGUAGACUAUACCUCGUGUGUCCUUAAUUAGGACCAGGCGAGGCUGCAGCCCGUCCAGGUGAAGGAAACCGGACGACUGGACCAGGCUAAUCACUCUGCCUAGGUGUUUUCUUUUCUUUUUUGUACCAGACUAAUCACACAACCAGGCGAGGCAGGUUUUUCUAUUCCCUUCGUAAAGAAAUAUAAGAGUGUUUAGAUCAUUCUUUAGAAACCAAACAACUACAAGGCCGACUCCAAGCACUAUCCAGGCCAGGCAUAUAUGGGUGUGGAUGCAAACCAAAUUGACCACUUAGAGCAUAUGCACCUCUGUUUGUACCAUGUACGUGUGGCUGUGUGGCAUCACAUGUUAAUUCAUAUCUUUACGGCCAACGAAUGCCACGACCAAAUAUCCAGGUUCGUGUUGCUCUUCUUUUUCUUUUGAGUCGAGUGUCAUGUGCCUCACUCGUCGUUUUCAUCGCUAGCUCAGUCGUUCGUUUCAAAGAUUCGCGUGCGACUGACGGACCGAGACGAAUUCAAGACAAAGAAACGAAGACCUCCAUUUCCGGGUCGGAUACACCGGACUCGACCGGAGUGAUCUACCAUGGAUCUUGUUUGAUUGCCUUGUAGUACCAUCAUGGUCCCUCAACGAGCCGCUUCACAUCGUUGCCACUGUUUUGUAGGCCCAACAUCCAACCCUUUUGAUUUCUUUUUUGGAAGUUGGUAGCUCGACGCCUUCGGAGCCAAGAAAAACCGCGUGACGUGAAUCUAUUGUCACCGUCCACGUCGAUGCACCCGACACGGCCAGUUUAUUUAUUUGCUUGGCCGACACGUGGUGCCAGUGUGCGAUCCUCGUGGCGUCCUCACGGACCUUUGCCCUUAAUCUAUCCUCUCCAGCUUGCUUAUGGUUCUCGUCACUCUCGCUGGGCUUAUUUUAUCUCUUCAUUCACUAGGUACAACCUGACCGAUCGAACGCCUUGCGUCCCGGUUCAAUGCACAUUCUUCACUUCGCCAUCCGAUCGAACGCCUUGCGGCACGUCCUUAUCCAAUCCGUCAACUCGCACAUGUCUAUUGAACGAGCCUGAUUUUUUUAUGCUAGACUUUUUGCUGCACAAAAAGCAAGGGUGGCGGUCCCUUUGCGGGGAAUGAUCAAUCCGGCACAAUGUCCGCCCGGUCCAGAUCGAAUCCACUAGAGCCGGCGCCCGUGACAAGAAAGUCGUUCAUGGCCGCGUGCGGAUGUCCAACCGUCGAGGCCAACGCAGCACGUCAGUCGACAGUGACAAGAAAGGAGUGCCGAUUAAGAAACAAUCCAGAUAAGAAUUUUGGUAGCUAAGCCACCAGAUUAGGAUCAUUCGAACUGCUGUAUCGAUCGAAAGGAUGAGAUAGGGUGACCAUGGGCGAGCCGAUCACGUCACGUCACACGCUAAUUGCAGGGUUGAUGCACAAACAAUCACGUCACAAACUCACACCACAAUCCAUAUAUGUAUGACUCUGCCUCUACGUACUCUUUUCGUUUUCUCAACUCCUGCAUACUCUCUUUCUGAAACAUAUACUGCUCUCUUUCUCGAACAUAUACAGUACUAUACUCUUUACUUCGGAGGCACAAAUUUUAUGCAUCCUGUAUGUACCCGAGAAAUCGUAUCGACGGCAUAAUAUAGUGUAUGGCGGUGACGUGAGCGGCACCACGUCACGGUGAUGACGCACAUGGCCUACUACGCGAAUUGCCGACAAGGAGAACGAGGGAGUGCCGUGCUUCAGUUUUCCUUUCCGUGAUUUUUUUAGAGAACCCCUUUUUUCGCUUACCAUAAAAUACCGAAAACACUAAUGCCCACACGUUGGGCAACAUUACAACUCACCCAUACGUCUGGAUUAUCGUCCAGUUAAAUUUACAUGAAUCAUGACACACGGAGAGAGUUUUCGCGUGCCACGUAGGACAAGCCCGGUGUGUGGGCGUUGAAGAGGUCACCCACACGCCCCACAACACGCGGUUACCAAAUGCGCUGUGUGGGCGAACUAAUUUCUGCCCACACAACCAUCACCUAGUCCACUCGCGUGUGGGCGAACUGCUUUUCGCUCACACGACAGUCGUAUGUUGUUGGAUGACAACUGCAGUUGCGCGUACAUGGCAACUAGGCAAACACACAUGACAACUAUGAUUCAUUUGCUAGACGGUAACUGCAAUUGUGUAUACGUGGCAAUCAGAUAAACAUACAUUGCAACUGCGAUUAACCACACGUGGCAACUAGAUAAACACACAUGACAACUAUUGUUUGAUCAUAUGUGGCAAGUAGUUAAUCACACACAACAACUAUGGUUUGAUUACGUGCGGCAAUUAUCAUAAAUUAGACAUGGCAACUAUAGUUAACCAAAACCGAGAGAGUUGUCAUGUUUUUACAACCAUAUUUGCCAUCCCAGAUAGCUACGUCUGCCAUCCCGGAUGGCAAUAAAUCGUCAUCCCGUGGGUUUCUAAUGUAGCUGCGCCAAAACGUGUAGGCAUAUUUGCUUCGUGCUACACGCGUGGGGUGAAGAUGAAUAGUAUUUGUUGGGCAUGUGACAUGAAAUAGAUGCGCCCACACGUGUGGGCAAUUCUAUUAUUCGCCCAUACACAGCCCGUGUGGACUACCUCCUCCUCAUGCCACAUACGAUGUGCGGGCGAAUAUCUAUUAUGCCACACGUGUGGUGGAUAUCGGCGUCUAAAUACUCCCGAGCAAGACGGGCAGCCCGACACAUGAUCCACUUGUCUCUAUUUAUCCAAAAUCACUCACGCGCGCCCAAGCUAAUUAAGCUACUAGUACACCACCUCCCGAUAAACCACGCAUUGUAAAUUUGUAACCAUCCCCGUGAAAAAGAGUAAGUUUGUAACCAAGAAUCUGUUGACGAAUGCGGUAAUUUCAAAAUUUUCCUAUGCACACGCAAGAUUAUGAUGAUGCACAACAACAAGAGGGGAGAAUAUCGUCUACAUACUCUCGUAGACCGUAAGCGGAAGCGUUAUGACAACGCGGUUGAUAUAGUCGUACGUCUUCAUGAUCGACCGAUCUAGUACCGAAGAUACGACACCUCCGCGAUCUGCACACAUUCGGCUCGGUGACGUCCCGCGAACUCACAAUCUAGUAGAGCUUCGAGGGAGAGCUUCGUCAGCACGAGGGCGUGAUGACGGCAAUGAUGUUGCUAUCAGAACAUGGCUUCACGUAAGCACCGCUACGAUAUUACCGUGGUGGAUUAUGAUGGAGGGAGGCACCGCACACGGCUAAAGAUCAAUGAUCAACUUGUGUGUCUAUGGGGUGCCGCCCUCCCCCGUGUAUAAAGGAGUGGAGGAGGGGGAGAGGCCGGCCUCUCUAGGCGCGCCCCAAGGAGUCCUACUCCCACUGGGAGUAGGAUUCUCCCCUUUCCUUUGUUGGUUCUAGGAGAGAAGGAGGAGAGGGAAGAAGGACGGAAAGGGGGGGGGAGCGCCCCCCCUCCCAAUUCAGAAUGGGCUUGGGGGGGGGGGCCCUCCUUUGCUUCUUUCCUCUCUCUUCCACUAAGGCCCAAUAAGGCCCAUAUACCUCCCGGGGUGUUUCGGUAACUCCCGCUACUCUGGUAUACUCCCGAUUUUACCCGGAACCAUUCCGAUGUCCAAACAUAGGCUUCCAAUAUAUCAAUAUUUAUGUCUCGACCAUUUCGAGACUCCUCGUCAUGUCCGUGAUCAAAUCCGGGACUCCGAACUACCUUCGGUACAUCAAAACACAUAAACUCGUAAUACCGAUCGUCACCGAACGUUAAGCGUGUGGACCCUACGGGUUCGAGAACUAUGUACACAUGAUCGAGACAUGUCUCUGGUCAAUAACCAAUAGCGGAACCUGGAUGCUCAUAUUGGUUCCUACAUAUUCCAUGAAGAUCUUUAUCAGUCAAACCGCAUAACGAUAUACGUUGUUCCCUUUGUCAUCGGUAUGUUACUUGCCCGAGAUUCGAUCAUCGGUAUCUCAAUACCUAGUUCAAUCUCGGUACUGGCAAGUCUCUUUACUCAUUUCGUAAUUCUACAUCCCGUAACUAACUCAUUAGCUACAUGGCUUGCAAGGCUUAUAGUGAUGUACAUUACCGAGAGGGCCGAGAGAUACCUCUCCAAUAAUCGGAGUGACAAAUCCUAGUCUUGAUCUAUGCCAACUCAACAACCACCAUUGGAGACACCUGUAGAGCACCUUUGUAAUCACCUAGUUACGUUGUGACGUUUUGUAGCAUACAAAGUGUUCCUCCGGUAUUCGGGAGUUGCAUGAUCUCAUAGUCAUAGGAACAUGUAUAGUUAUGGAGAAAGCAAUAGCAACAAACUAAACGAUCAUCGUGCUAAGCUAAUGGAUGGGUCAAGUCAAUCACAUCAUUCUCUAAUGAUGUGACCCCGUUAAUCAAAUGACAACUCAUGUCUAUGGUCAGGAAACACAACCAUCAUUGAUUCAACGUGCUAGUCAAGUAGAGGCAAACUAGCGACACUUUGUUUGUCUAUGUAUUAACACAUGUACUAAGUUUCCGGUUAAUACAAUUCUAGCAUGAAUAAUAAAAAUUUAUCAUGAUAUAAUGAAAUAUAAAUAACAACUUUAUUAUUGCCUCUAGGGCAUAUUUCCUUCAGUCUCCCACUUGCACUAGAGUCAAUAAUCUAGAUUACACUGUAAUGAUUCUAACACUCAUGGAGUCUUGGUGUUGAUCAUGUUUUGCUUGUGAGAGAGGCUUAGUCAACGGGUCUGCAACAUUCAGAUCCGUAUGUAUCUUGCAAAUCUCUAUGUCUCCCUCCUUGACUUGAUCGCAGAUGGAACUGAAGCAUGUCUUGAUGUGCUUAGUUCUCUUGUGAAAUCUGGAUUCCUUUGCCAAGGCAAUUGCACCAGUAUUGUCACAAAAUAUUUUCAUUGGACGCGAUGCACUAGGUAUGACACCUAGAUUGGAUAUGAACUCCUUCAUGCAGACUCCUUCAUUUGUUGCUUCUGAAGCAGCUAUGUAUUCCGCUUCACACGUAGAUCCCGCCACGACGUCUGCUUGGAACUGCACCAACUGACAUCUCCACCAUUUAAUAAAAACACGUAUCCGGUUUGUGAAUUAGAGUCAUCCGGAUCAGUGUCAAAGCUUGCAUCGACGUAACCGUUUACGACGAGCUCUUUGUCACCUCCAUAUACGAGAAACAUAUCCUUAGUCCUUCUCAGGUAUUUCAGGAUGUUCUUGACCGCUGUCCAGUGAUCCACUCCUGGAUUACUUUGGUACCUCCCUGCUAAACUUAUAGCAAGGCACACAUCAGGUCUAGUACACAACAUUGCAUACAUGAUAGAACCUAUGGCUGAAGCAUAGGGAACACCUUUCAUUUUCUCUCUAUCUUCUGCAGUGGCCGGGCAUUGAGUCCGACUCAACUUCACACCUUGUAAUACAGGCAAGAACCCUUUCUUUGCCUGAUCCAUUUUGAACUUCUUCAAAACUUUAUCAAGGUAUGUGCUUUGUGAAAGUCCAAUCAAGUGUCUUGAUCUAUCUCUAUAGAUCUUGAUGCCCAAUAUAUAAGCAGCUUUACCGAGGUCUUUCAUUGAAAAAUUCUUAUUCAAGUAUCCUUUUAUGCUAUUCAGAAAUUCAGUAUCAUUUCCGAUCAACAAUAUGUCAUCUACAUAUAAUAUCAGAAAUGCUACGGAGCUCCCACUCACUUUCUUAUAAAUACAGGCUUCUCCAAAACAAUGUAUAAUACCAUAUGCUUUGAUCACACUAUCAAAGCAUAUAUUCCAACUCCGAGAGGCUUGCACCAGUCCAUAAAUGGAUUGCUGGAGCUUGCACACUUUGUUAGCACCUUCUGGAUCGACAAAACCUUCUGGUUGCAUCAUAUACAACUCGUCUUUAAAUUAUACAUUAAGGAAUGCAGUUUUGACAUCCAUUUGCCAAAUUUCAUAAUCAUAAAAUCUAACACCCACAAUGCGGCUAUAUCUGCCACGUGUCGGGGCAUGACUUAGAGGCAUAGCCGCAUGGUAGGCAUGUCGCAAGAGGGGUAAUCUUUACACAUCCCAUGUACUGAAUAAGAAAGGGAUAAAGAGUCGGCUUACAAUCGCCACUUCACACAAUACAUAAAUAAUCCAUACAUCAUCCAAGGUACAAACAAAGGUCCGACUACGGAACCAAAAUAAAGAAAGACCACCCCAAAUGCUAGAUACCCGAUCGUUCCAACUGGGCUCCACUAUUGAUCAUCAGGAAAGGAAACAUAAUAGCGACCCAAAUCUUCAUCGAAUUCCCACUUGAGAUCGGUAGCAUCGCCUGCACUGGUAUCGUCGGCACCUCCAACUGUUUGGAAAUAUCCGUGAGUCACGAGGACUCAGCAAUCUCAUACCCGCGCGAUCAUGACUAUUUAAGCUUAUGGGUAGGAGAAGGUAGUGAGGUGGAGCUGCAGCAAGCACUAAGCAUAUAUGGUGGCUAACAUACGCAAAACAGAGGGAUGAGAGAAGCAAUGCACGGUCGAGAAGCUAUAAGUGAUCAAGAAGUGAUCCUGAAACUACUUACAUUCAAGCAUAACACAAGACCGUGUUCUCUUCCCGGACUCCGCCAAAAAGAGACCAUCACGGCUACACACGCGGUUGAUUCAUUUUAAUUAAGUUAAGGGUCAAGUUCUCUAUAACUGGAUAUUAACAAAUUCCCAUCUGCCACAUAACCGCGGGCACGGCUUUCGAAAGUUCAAAACCCUGCAGGGGUGUCCCAACUUAGCCCAUCACAAGCUCUCACGGUCAAUGAAGGAUAUUUCUUCUCCCAGGAAGACCCGAUCAGACUCGGAAUCCCGGUUACAAGACAUUUCGACAAUGGUAAAACAAGACCAGGAAAGCUACUGUAAUGUGCUGACAAAUCGCGAUAGGAGCUGCACAUAUCUCAUUCUCAGGGCACACCGGAUUGUCCAAACUUUCGGUAGGCCAGCCCAGAGUUGCCCCUGGUGGCCACCGGUGGCUGACAGGUUGGACCAACACUCAGAGGAGUAAUGGCCCGGGCGUUCAAAAUAAAGAUGACCCUUGAGUCCGCGGAACCCAAGGGAAAAAGGCUUAGGUAGGCAAAUGGUAAAACCAAGGUUGGGCCUUGCCAGAGGAGUUUUAUUCAAAACGAACUAUCAAGGGGUUCCCAUAAUACCCAACCGCGUAAGGAACGCAAAAUCAAGGAACAUAACACCGGUAUAACGGAAACUAGGGCGGCAAGAGUGGAACAAAACACCAGGCAUAAGGCCGAGCCUUCCACCCUUUACCAAGUAUAUAGAUGCAUUAAAGUAAAUAAGAUAUAAUAAUGAUAUCCCAACAAUAUCCAUGUUCCAACAUGGAACAAACUUCAUCUUCACCUGCAACUAGCAACGCUAUAAGAGGGGCUGAGCAAAGCGGUAACAAAGCCGAACAAGGAUUUGCUAGGAAAUGUGGGUUAGAGGUUUGACACGGAAAAAUGGGAGGCAUGAUAUAGCAAGUGGUAGGUAGCGCGGCAUAGCAAUAGAGCGAACAACUAGCAAGCAAAGAUAGAAGUGAUUUCGAGGGUAUGGUCAUCUUGCUUGCAAAGUUCUCAGAGUUGUCAAAAGCUUGAUCCUCAUAAGCAUACUCAACAGGUUCCUCGGUCACGUACUCGUCUGCCAUUCUACCCAAAGCAAGAACAUAAGCAAAGGACCAACAAUCAAUCACGGUGCAAUGCACAAGCAACAUGAUGCAAUAUAUGGCAUGAUAUGCGAGAUGUGAUAUGCAAUGCAUAUGCGUGCUCCGGAAGGAAAAUAAAGAUCAAGGCAUUAACUUGGAAAACCUAGUAUGCCGCUGGAAAGAUGAGAUGAUUUCGGUUGAAAUCGAUAUAAAGAUCACCGGAAAUGGAUGCACGGUUUGCAAAUGGCAAGCAAAACAAGGAUGGUGCAAAACUGUAAUUAACAACACGAUGCUACUUAGGAUGCAACAAGAAACUAAGAUACUGCACCCCAACAUAACCACAAAGUAUUAGGCAGUGAUGUACACAAGAUGCUUGACAAAACAUGAACACUGAGUUACGGCUAAAUCACACAAGAGCAGGUUCAAACAAGCAUGGCCAAAGUGCAAAAGAUAUCAGUUUCACAGACUUAGUGAAAAUACUAACAUGCUAGAAAUAACAUCAGGAAGCCAUGUUUAGAGCAAGCAAACAACAUGAUACAGGAACAUAUCAUAGCAAAACAAGGCAUGGCAUGAAUGUACUAAAUGCGUAGAUCAAAAGUUCCUUAAUGAUCAUGAUCCAAUAAGGUACAGAAGAUAUGAUGACACCCAUGUAACCAUAGCAAGUUUUAUUAACACUUUCAGACUUAGCGGAAAACAGAGCAUGGCAUAAACAGAAUUAUGAAGGCAACUUUGCGAGCUCAUGCUACUCACCACAAAGCAUUUCAUAAAAAAACAAUCAUACCAACAGCAAGAUGACAUGUUCAUUAAGUAACCAUGGCAAGAGCAAGUACAUAGCAUGCAUGGAUCACUAACAACAACCAUGGCAAAAUUGAUUAACAUGUUAACAUUCUGCCAGGAACAUUUUAUAGCAAAAGUAGAGCAAGAACAAGACAUGCUAGGCAACUCCAUAAUUGCAAACAGGGGCAUGGAUGGAUAGAGCAUAACCAUAUGUUCAAAAUAUCCUUACUGAAGUAUCUCAAAACAAGCAUGGAUAUCACUAGAGCAUCAAGUUUACAUGGCAUCAAAAUAACAGCAGGACAAGGACUUAGCAAAAUCCCAAGUCUCUGAAAACAGCAACAUUGUGGAGCCUAGUUUGUAUGCUUGUGCUAGUCACCAGAUAGAUCACAAAAAUACAAGACAAGCACCCCUGUAAAGAUGGCAUGACAUAGUUCAAAACACAUGUAGAGCUCAUGCCCAUUUGAUGCACACAUCAAAUGCAACAAAAAUGACAAAACCUCAUGAUCUGAUAAGUAGCAGCACGUAACAUUUUAUAGCACUCUUGCAUCAAUGAAAAAGGCAUCAUAAUUGACAUGAACAUGCAUGGAAAUGCCAUUGGAAUAAAGAGCUCGACGAGAAGAACAAUUUGAUAUAUCAUAUGCAUGAAACGAAGCUACAGUCAUGGAGAUACGAUGCUAUGAACAGGGCAUGAAAUUAACACAAAAAAGGACAGACGAAAUCGAGGGGGGGGGUCGACCUCCAGAUCUAGGGCACGGGACCCGAGGUUCGACGGAGCUCGAACUCGUCGGAGAUGGAGCGGGAAGGCGGCCGGAGGUGAGGAGGUGGCCGGAGCGGCGCUUGGGCGCGGGCGGCGAUCGGCGCCGACCCGCGGUGGCUGCAGGGUGGCGAAGCUGGCGGAGGAGUGGCGUGGCCUGCCGGCGUGGAGGAGCGGCCCGGCNNNNNNNNNNNNNNNNNNNNNNNNNNNNNNNNNNNNNNNNNNNNNNNNNNNNNNNNNNNNNNNNNNNNNNNNNNNNNNNNNNNNNNNNNNNNNNNNNNNNNNNNNNNNNNNNNNNNNNNNNNNNNNNNNNNNNNNNNNNNNNNNNNNNNNNNNNNNNNNNNNNNNNNNNNNNNNNNNNNNNNNNNNNNNNNNNNNNNNNNNNNNNNNNNNNNNNNNNNNNNNNNNNNNNNNNNNNNNNNNNNNNNNNNNNNNNNNNNNNNNNNNNNNNNNNNNNNNNNNNNNNNNNNNNNNNNNNNNNNNNNNNNNNNNNNNNNNNNNNNNNNNNNNNNNNNNNNNNNNNNNNNNNNNNNNNNNNNNNNNNNNNNNNNNNNNNNNNNNNNNNNNNNNNNNNNNNNNNNNNNNNNNNNNNNNNNNNNNNNNNNNNNNNNNNNNNNNNNNNNNNNNNNNNNNNNNNNNNNNNNNNNNNNNNNNNNNNNNNNNNNNNNNNNNNNNNNNNNNNNNNNNNNNNNNNNNNNNNNNNNNNNNNNNNNNNNNNNNNNNNNNNNNNNNNNNNNNNNNNNNNNNNNNNNGGCGCUGACGAGGGUCGUCGAGGAAGGCGGCGGCCGGCGCGGGAUCCGAUGCGGUGGUGGGGCGACGGGAUCGGGCGGCGCGGAGCGGCUUCGGUCGAUGGCGCGGUUGGGCUCGCCGGGGCCCCGCGCGCGCCGGUGGAGCUGCCCACAUGGCGGUCUCUGGUUGGACGCGGUGCGGCGGUGAUUUUGUCCUGCUCGGGCCGGACGUGUCCGGUGGUGGAGGAGGGUGGAGCUAGGGUUUCGUUUGCGCGAAAUUUCGAGGAGGGACACCUAUUUAUAGGUAGGAGGAGGUAGGAGUGUCCAAAUGAGGUGCGGUUUUCGCGUACACGAUCGUGAUUCGACGAUGAAGGACAUGGAAGUGGUUUAGAUGGGUUAUUGGGCCAUUUUGGAGGGGUGGCUGCAACACACAAGAGGCUUUCACGGUAACCCGGUUAACCGUUGGAGCAUCAAACAGACUCCAAAUGGGACGAAAUUUGACAGGCGGUCUACCGGUGGUGUACCAAGACCACUUGGAAAAUCUCAGUCCAUUCCGAGAACGUUUAACACCCUCUCACGAAAAGAGACAAGAGGGGGGCGCCGGUGCAUGUGGGAAUGUCAGAUUGCAAAACGGACAACGGAAAAAAUGCUCGGAUGCAUGAGAUGAACACGUAUGCAAAUGCGAUGCACAUGAUGACAUGAUAUGAAAUGCAUGACAUGAACAAAAUGCAAAACGAAGACAAAAACCCAACCACGAAGGGAUUCUCAUAACUUAAAGCCGAAAAUGGCAAGAGUUGGAGUUACAAAUAUGGCAAGUUACAUCCGGGGUGUUACAACACUCCACCACUAUGAGAGGAUCUCGUCCCGAGAUCUAGGACUGAAAGAACUCCGGAUAUUCAGAACGGAGGUGGUCCUCGCAUUCCCAGGUGGCUUCUCGGUCGGAAUGGUGUGACCACUUCACUUUCAGGAAUUUGAUAGACUUGUUGCGAGUCUUGCGCUCAGUUACUUCAAGAAUAGCAAUGGGAUGCUCAUGAUAAGACAAAUCUUCUUGGAGAUAAAUCUCUUUGAAGUUGAUGGUGCACUCAGGAGUCUUGAAGCACUUGCGGAGCUGUGACAUGUGAAACACAUCGUGCACAUUUGCAAAGUUGGACAGAAGCUCAAGUUGAUAGGCGAGAUCGCCUCUUUUGCCAAUGAUCUUGAAAGGAUCCACGUAUCUAGGGGCAAACUUCCCUUAUAAACCAAAGCGACGAGUGCCUUUCAUUGGAGAGACGCGGAGGUAGACAGGGUCUCCGAUCUCGAAAGCCAAGUCACGGUGCUUGCUAUCAUAGUAACUCUUCCGGCGCAAUUGCGUGGCUUUGAGAUUUUCCCGGAUGACUUUGCACAUUUCUUCAGCCUCUGUGAUCAAGUCAUUGCCAAGAAGUUGGCGUUCACCAGUCUCUGACCAAUUGAGAGGAGUACGACACUUUCUGCCAUAGAGAAUUUGGAAUGGGGCCUUGCCCAACCUCGCUUGGAAGAUGUUGUUGUAGGAGAACUCGGCAUAUGGAAGACAAUCUUCCCACUUCAUACCGAAGGAAAUGACACAAACCCUAAGCAUAUCUUCAAGGAUUUGAUUGACUCGCUCGACUUGGCUACUAGUUUGAGGAUGGAAAGCUGUGUUGAAGCGAAUGUUGGUGCCCAUGGCCUUCUAGAAGGAGUCCCAGAACUUAGAAGUGAAGAUGCUCCCACGAUCUGAAGAUAUCAAUUGUGGAAUGCCGUGCAAGGAGACAAUCCUGGAGGUGUAUAGCUCUGCCAGCUGAGCUGCUGUGAUAGAUUCUUUGAUUGGAAGGAAAUGAGCCACUUUAUUAAGCUUGUCGAUGACAAUGAAGAUAGUAUCAUUUCCACGCUUGGACUUGGGAAAUCUAGUCACGAAGUCCAUCUCAAUAUGGUCAAACUUCCAUUCUUGUCGUGGAUUUGUCACGGCAGAUGUCCUUAGUGUGAGGACUUAGUCGUGAGGCCAACGCAUCUUUGUAGUAGCUUGAGAGGGGUUAAGUGGGACGAGAGACGCAGAGCAGAUCAAAGCACAAGACAAGGAUUUAGACAGCUUCGGGCUCCGGGAAACAUCAUCCGGUAAUAGCCCUACAUGCUGUUUGUGGCUAGGUCUCAUUAUGCUCAUGAGGGAGUCGCCGCAUAAGCCGGCUCCCCUCUAGUUGUUUCUAGCCUUAGCUAUUGUUUCUUGUUGCUUCUCCCUCUUUGGGGAGCCCUGCCCCUCCUUAUAUAAGUUGAAGGGGCGGCUUACAUGUAGAGUCCUAGUAGGAUUAGAACUAACUUAUUCAUAAUUACAAGUCGGAUACAAGUACGAGUCUUGCUUCCUCAUAAAGGAAAUAUUCCUCAUGCCUUCCGUCUUAAGCCGACCCACUAUAACAUGAGCCAGCCUAGUGGGCCUUGGGCCCUUGUCAUCCAUCUGACCCGCCGUCAGGGCCAUUAUUAAGUCGCGAGGCUCGUGAGUCAUCACACCAGUGAACUGCUAGACCCAUGAGUCGCCAAUCCUCCGGUGGGCCAUGAUGAAGCGCCAAGUCGGGCCAGGUCGUACUUCCGGCUGGGUCAUACCGCGGGGUAUAUCCCUGAUAUUAGCCCCCAGUUUAAUUUGGAUUUAUCCAUGUUAAACUGAUUCUGCAAAAUAAACAUAAGAACAAAUUUGACGGGUUGUGCUCCAGGUUAAAUAUUCUUGUAAGCCGACACUUGAUCAUCCUUAAGUCCUUGACAUUUUCUCCUGGAAAAUCCGGGUCAAUAGGCCAGCUUCAUAAUCUAUUUGCUGACAUUGCGUCCUGUAAAGAAAUAUUAUAGGAAAUGAUCCAUUUGAGUCGGCCUUCAAUGCUUUGAUUUGACAAAAAUAUGGUCUUGAAAUAUUCAACUGAUAUUCAGCCGGCUUAAAGAUGUAGAUCUUGCCGAUUUAUGAUUUCCAAAAUUGUCAGGUUAUAAACAAAUGAUACCGGGUCAUGUAAUUGUUGCUGAUGCCGGGUUAAUCUUAGGAUGACGCCGGGUCAUAAACAUUGCAGAUUUCUCCGAUAAUAAUAUAAUACCUGAUUUGCUCAAAACUGAGAAUUUGAAAUUGUUCCUCCCUUACAUGCAUAUCACCUGUAGCCCCCAAGUGUCGGGUUGUCAUGCUUGCAACAACCUGGAACUUGUAAUUACCUUAUGCUCAUAAAAAUUUCAACCAGUGUAGCCCCGAAGGGCCGGGUCAUUAUGCAAUAAUGAGCAGGGACUUUGUAAAUAUGAUCAUGUAAACUUGAGCAGCAACGUGUAGCCCCCAAGGGCCGGCUUAGUAAGAUAUUACUGAGCUGGGACUUUGUAUAUGAUUCAUUGAUAAUAACAUCAUAUGAUGUAAUCUCCACCAUGGGGCUUGAACCCACAUCCACAAGGUUAAGAGCUUUGUACUCUACCAACCAAGUAGUGGAUCUUUCAAUAUAAUGGAUUAAGGCUUGUGUACCUUGAAUUUUCGACAGGAGCAAUUGGUAGCCCCCAAGGGCCGGCUCAUUUAGAAUGUGAUGAGUCGGGUCUUCAAUAAGUUGAGCAAAAAUGACUUUGCAUUAGCCCCCAAGUGCCAUGGUGCAUGCUAGCAGUGACAUGGGACUUGCAUAUUUGAUAUAAUCUCAAUCUGAAUAAUGUAGCCCCCAAGUGCCGGGUCGUAAGCCUGCAGCGACUCGGGACUAUUCUUUCCAUUGUAGAAUAAAUCAUAUCCAUUGAUAAAAUAAUAGCCAUUGCGCCAAAGCGACUUUGAAUGCCUUAUCUGUUGACAAGUAAAUCCGGAGUUUAAAUACCCGGCGGCUCUUGGCCGAUGGCGAUUUAAUAUGCCUCCGUUGUAAGCCGGAAUUUUUAUAACCCGGCGGCUUAUAGACUUUGAGAAAAUCAAGAAUUGAUAACCCUUUUGAGACACCAAUUUCAAUCUUUGAUGAUGGGCUGGAACUUAAUCAUUUAUGUAAAUCAUAGCUCUGUAAAUCCUGCACAGAGUUUAAACAACAUAUGCCCUGGCGACUUAACGUCAAAAGCCAGGGCGGGUAACCACCCAAAUGUAGUCUUAUCCUGCACACAAGUAGAUCACAAGAUCCCUUGGCGGUUUACCGCAGGGCGGGUCAUAAUAUCCCGCAUAUAACCAUUGUGAUAUUGAAUUUGUACUGCCGGUUUACAUGACCUGUGCAGUAAGGGUGAUAACCCAAUCCUUAGAAGCCAAUACUUCCAAAUAUAUGAUGAUUGUCACAUGCUGGCGACUUAUCGUCCAAAGCCAAGCCGGGUUUAAACGAAACCACACUUAUACUUAGAUCUGAACAAAAAAGUCUCAAGACAAAACCAAAUAUUGUUUGCAAAAACUUAAACCAAAUAAAAAUCGAGGUUUGUGAUUCGAAUACGACUAGUAAACCGUUCCAAAGGGGUUAAGCUAGGAUUCAAAUACGAUCAUGUAGCCCAAGUGGCUUUGGCGUUGCGCCGAUCAAGAGGGUACCGACAGCUAUGUUCUCUUUGGUUCGAAUACGACCUAUGUUUGAACAGGAAGCCCCCAAAUGACCUUGAGAGGUUUGUAACGACCCUGGUUUGAAUACGAUCCAAGUCGGACCCAAAAGGGGUUAAGCUAUGAUUUGAAUACGAUCAAGAAGCCCCCUAGUGAGUUUGGCAGUGUGCCGAUAAAGAGGGUACCGACAGCUAUGUUCUCUUUGGUUCGAAUACGACCUAUGUUUGAACAGGAAGCCCCCAAAUGAACUUGAGAGGUUUUUAACGACCCUGAUUCGAAUACGAUCCAAGUCGGACCCAAAGUGGGCGCCAACUGUUGUGGAUUUGUCACGACAGAUGUCCUUAGUGUGAGGACUUAGUCGUGAGGCCAACGCAUCUUUGUAGUAGCUUGAGAGGGGUUAAGCGGGACGAGAGACGCAGGGCGGAUCAACGCACAAGACAAGGAUUUAGAUAGCUUCGGGCUCCGGGAAACAUCAUCCGGUAAUAGCCCUACAUGUUGUUUGUGGCUAGGUCUCAUUAUGCUCAUGAGGGAGUCGCCGCAUAAGCCGGCUCCCCUCUAGUUGUGUAUAGCUUUAGCGAUUGUUUCUUUUUGUUUCUCCCUCUUUGGGGAGCCCUGCCCCUUCUUAUAUAAGUUGAAGCGGUGGCUUACAUGUAGAGUCCUAGUAGGAUUAGAACUAACUUAUUCUCUAUUACAAGUCGGAUACAAGUACGGGUCUUGCUUCCUCGUAAAGGAAAUAUUCCUCAUGCCUUCCGUCUUAAGCCAGCCCACUAUAACAUGACCCGGCCUACUGGGCCUUGGGCCCUUGUCAUCCACCUGACCCGCCAUCGGGGCCAUCAUUAAGUCGCCAGGCUCGUGAGUCAUCACACCAGUGAACUGCUAGACCCGUGAGUCGCCAAUCCUCCGGCGGGCCACGAUGAAGCGCCAAGUCUGGCCGGGUCAUACUUCCGGCUGGGUCAUACCACGGGGUAUAUCCCCGACAAUUCUGGAAUAGCAAGAGGUUGGAGGAGACCAACUAGCCCUUGGUGUUCUGUUUUCACCCUUCUACAGACAUCACUUUCAUUCACGAAUUGAGCAAUUUCUCGCUUCAUUCGAGUCCACCAAUACGACUGCUUGAGGUCAUGGUACAUCUUCGUACUUCUAGAAUGAAUGGAUAGAAGGGAACUAUUGUUGGAAAUAUGCCCUAGAGGCAAUAAUAAAAGUAUUAUUAUUAUAUUUCCUUGUUCAUGAUAAUUGUCUUUUAUUCAUGCUAUAACUGUAUUAUCCGGAAAUCGUAAUACACGUGUGAAUACAUAGACCACAAUAUGUCCCUAGUGAGCCUCUAGUUGACUAGCUCGUUGUGAUCAACAAAUAGUCAUGGUUUCCUGGCUAUGGACAUUGGAUGUCGUUGAUAACGGGAUCACAUCAUUAGGAGAAUGAUGUGAUGGACAAGACCCAAUCCUAAGACUAGCACAAAAGAUCGUGUAGUUCAUUUGCUAGAGCUUUGCCAAUGUCAAGUAUCUCUUCCUUGACCAUGAGAUCGUGUAACUCCUGGAUACCGUAGGAGUGCUUUGGGUGUAUCAAACGUCACAACGUAACUGGGUGACUAUAAAGGUGCACUACAGGUAUCUUCGAAAGUAUCUAUUGUUUUAUGCGGAUCGAGACUGGGAUUUGUCACUCCGUGUAAACGGAGAGGUAUCUCUGGGCCCACUCGGUAGGACAUCAUCAUAUGCGCAAUGUGACCAAGGAGUUGAUCACGGGAUGAUGUGUUACGGAACGAGUAAAGUGACUUGCCGGUAAUGAGAUUGAACAAGGUAUCGGUAUACCGACGAUCGAAUCUCGGGCAAGUAAAAUACCGCUAGACAAAGGGAAUUGUAUACGGGAUCGAUUGAGUCCUUGACAUCGUGGUUCAUCCGAUGAGAUCAUCGUGGAACAUGUGGGAGCCAACAUGGGUAUCCAGAUCCCGCUGUUGGUUAUUGACCGGAGAACGUCUCGGUCAUGUCUGCAUGUCUCCCGAACCCGUAGGGUCUACACACUUAAGGUUCGAUAACGCUAGGGUUAUAAAGGAAGCUUGUAUGUGGUAACCGAAUGUUGUUCGGAGUCCCGGAUGAGAUCCCGGACGUCAUGAGGAGUUCCGGAAUGGUCCGGAGGUAAAGAUUUAUAUAUAGGAAGUCCUGUUUCGGGCAUCGGGACAAGUUUCGGGGUCAUCGGUAUUGUAUCGGGACCACCGGAAGGGUCCCGGGGGCCCACCGGGUGGGGCCACCUGCCCCGGGGGGCCACAUGGGCUGUGGGGGUGCGCCUUGGCCUACAUGGGCCAAGGGCACCAGCCCCAAGAGGCCCAUGCGCCUAGGGAACCCUAGAGGGAAGAGUCCUCAAGGGGGAAGGCACCUCCGAGGUGCCUUAGGGAGGAUGGACUCCUCCCCUCCUCUUGGCCGCCGCACCAGAUGCCAUCUGGAGGCUGGCCGCCGCCCCUUGGGGUGGGAAACCCUAAAGGGGGCGCAGCCCUCCCCUUCCCCUAUAUAUAUGAGGCCUAGGGGCUGCCCAUGACACACGAUUUGAUCUCUCGUUGGUGCAGCCCUGCCCCUCUCCCUCCUCCUCCUCUCCCAUGGUGCUUGGCGAAGCCCUGCUGGAUUGCCACGCUCCUCCACCACCACCAUGCCGUUGUGCUGCUGUUGGAUGGAGUCUUCCUCAACCUCUCCCUCUCUCCUUGCUGGAUCAAGGCGUGGGAGACAUCACCGGGCUGUACGUGUGUUGAACGCGGAGGUGCCGUCCGUUCGGCACUUGAUCAUCGGUGAUCUGAAUCACGACGAGUACGACUCCAUCAACCCCGUUCACUUGAACGCUUCCGCUUAGCGAUCUAUAAGGGUAUGUAGAUGCACUCUCCUUCUACUCGUAGCUGGUUUCUCCAUAGAUAGAUCUUGGUGACGCGUAGGAAAAUUUUGAAUUUCUGCUACGUUCCCCAACAGUGGCAUCAUGAGCUAGGUCUAUUGCGUAGAUUCUUUGCACGAGUAGAACACAAAGUAGUUGUGGGCGUUGAUGUUGUUCAAUAUGCUUACCGUUACUAGUCCAAUCUUGUUUCGACGGUAUUGUGGGAUGAAGCGGCCCGGACCGACCUUACACGUACUCUUACGUGAGACAGGUUCCACCGAUUGACAUGCACUUGGUGCAUAAGGUGGCUAGCGGGUGCCAGUCUCUCCCACUUUAGUCGGAACGGAUUCGAUGAAAAGGGUCCUUAUGAAGGGUAAAUAGCAAUUGGCAUAUCACGUUGUGGUUUUGCGUAGGUAAGAAACGUUCUUGCUAGAAACCCAUAGCAGCCACGUAAAACAUGCAAACAACAAUUAGAGGACGUCUAACUUGUUUUUGCAGGGUAUGCUUUGUGAUCUGAUAUGGCCAAGAAGAAUGUGAUGAAUGAUAUGUGAUGUAUGAGAUUGAUCAUGUUCUUGUAAUAGGAUCCACGACUUGCAUGUCAAUGAGUAUGACAACCGGCAGGAGCCAUAGGAGUUGUCUUUAUUUUUUUGUAUGACCUGUGUGUCAUUGAAGAACGCCAUGUAAACUACUUUACUUUAUUGCUAAACGCGUUAGUCAUAGAAGUAGAAGUAGUCGUUGGCGUGACAACUUCAUGAAGACACGAUGAUGGAGAUCAUGAUGAUGGAGAUCAUGGUGUCAUGCCGGUGACAAGAUGAUCAUGGAGCCCCGAAGAUGAAGAUCAAAGGAGCUAUAUGAUAUUGGCCAUAUCAUGUCACUACUCUAUUUGAUUGCAUGUGAUGUUUAUCAUGUUUAUGCAUCUUGUUUACUUAGGACGACGGUAGUAAAUAAGAUGAUCCCUUACAAAAUUUCAAGAAGUGUUCUCCCCUAACUGUGCACCGUUGCUACAGUUCGUCGCUUCUAAGCACCACGUGAUGAUCGGGUGUGAUGGAUUCUUACGUUCACAUACAACGGGUGUAAGACAGUUUUACAUAGCGAAAACACUUAGGGUUAACUUGACGAGCCUAGCAUGUGCAGACAUGGCCUCGGAACACGGAGACCGAAAGGUCGAGCAUGAGUCGUAUAGUAGAUACGAUCAACAUGAAGAUGUUCACCGACGUUAACUAGUCCGUCUCACGUGAUGAUCGGACACGGCCUAGUUGACUCGGAUCAUGUAAUCACUUAGAUGACUAGAGGGAUGUCUAUCUGAGUGGGAGUUCAUAAGAUGAACUUAAUUAUCUUGAACAUAGUCAAAAGACCUUUUUGCAAAUUAUGUCGUAGCUCGCGCUUUAGUUCUACUGUUUAGUUAUGUUCCUAGAGAAAAUAUAGUUGAAAGUUGACAGUAGCGAUUAUGCGAUCAGUAGAAAGCUUAUGUCCUUAAUGCACCGCUUAGUGUGCUGAACCCCAAACAUCGUUUGUGGAUGUUUCGAACAUCGAACAUACACGUUUUGAUAACUACGUGAUAGUUCAGUUAAAUGGUUUAAGUAGAGGCACCAAAGACGUUUUCGAAACGUCAUGGAACAUAUGAGAUGUUUCGAGGGCUGAAAUUGGGAUUUCAUGCUCGUGCCCACGUCAAGAGGUAUGAGACCUCCGACGAUUUUCUUAGCCUGCAAACUAAGGAGAGAAGCUCAAUUGUUGAGCUUGUGCUCAGAUUGUCUGAGUACAACAAUCACUUGAAGCAAGUGGGAGUUGAUCUUCCAGAUGAAAUAGUGAUAGUUUCUCCGAAGUCAUUACCACCAAGCUGCUAGAGCUUCGUGAUGAACUAUAACAUAUCAGGGAUAGAUAUGAUGAUCCUUGAAAUAUUCACGUUGUUUGACACCGCGAAAGUAGAAAUCAAGAAGGAGCAUCAAUUGUUGAUGGUUGAUGAAACCACUAGUUUCAAGAAGGGCAAGGGAAAGAAGGGAUGCUUCAUGAAACGGCAAAUCAGCUGCUGCACCAGUGAAGAAACCCGAGGUUGAACCCAAACCCGAGACUAAGUGCUUCUGUGAUAAGGGGAACAACCACUGGAGCAGCAUUACCCUAGAUACUUGGUAGAUGAGAAGGCUGGCAAGGUCGAUAGAAGUAUAUUGGAUAUACAUUAUGUUAAUGUGUACUUUACUAGUACUCCUAGUAGCACCAGGGUACAGGAUACCGGUUCGGUUGCUAAGUGUUAGUAACUCGAAAUAAAAGCUACGAAAUAAAACGGAGACUAGCUAAAGGUGAGCUGACGAUAUGUGUUGGAAGUGUUUCCAAGUUUGAUGUGAUCAAAAAUCGCACGCUCCCUCUACCACCGAGAUUGGUGUUUGCGUUGAGCAUAGACAAGAUUGGAUUAUGUCUAUCGCAAUACGGUUAUUCAUUUAAGGAGAAUAAUGUUUACUCUAUUGUUGAAUAAUACCUUCAAUGGUCUUGCACCUAAAGGAAUGAAUCUCGGUCGUAGUGAUACACAUUUUCAUGCCAAAAGAUAUAAGAUAGUAAUGAUAGUACCACUUACUUGUGGCACUGCCAUGUAAGUCAUAAUGGUAUAAAACGCAUGAAGAAGCUUCAUGUUGAUCGAUCUUUGGACUCACUCGUUUUUGAAAAGUUUGAGACAUGCGAACCAUGUCUAUUGGUGUAUAUGCAUGAAGAAACUCCAUGCAAAUGGACCGUUCAGACUCACUUGAUUUUGAAUCACUUGAGAUAUGCAAAUCAUACCACAUAGGCAAGAUGACUGAAAAGCCUCGGUUUCAAUAAGAUGGAACAAGAUAGCAACUUGUUGGAAGUAACACAUUUUGAUGUGUGCAGUCCAAUAAAUGCUGAGGCAUGCAGUGAAUAUCGUUAUGUUCUUACUUCACAGAUGAUUCGAGUAGAUGUUGAGAAUAUUUACUUGAUGAUACACAACUCUGAAUUAUUGAAUGGUUCAAGUAAUUUCAGGGUGAAGUAGAAGAUCAUUGUGACAAGAGGAUAAAAUGUCUAUGAUAUGAUCAUAGAGAUGAAUAUCUGAGUUACGAGUUUUGGCACACAAUUAAGACAUUGUGGAAAUUGUUUCGCAAUUAAUACCGCCUGGAACACCAUAGUGUGAUGGUGUGUCCGAACAUCAUAGUUGCACCCUAUUGGAUAUGGUGCGUACCAUGAUGUCUCUUAUCGAAUUACCACUAUCGUUCAUGGGUUAGGCAUUAGAGACAACCACAUUCACUUUAAAUAGGGCACGACGUAAUUCCGAUGAGAUGACACCUAUGAAUUAUGGUUUAGAGAAACCUAAGUUGUCGUUUCUUAAAAGUUUGGGGCUGCGACGCUUAUAUGAAAAAGUUUCAGGUUGAUAAGCUCGAACCCAAAGCGAAUAAAAUGCAUCUUCAUAGGAAACCCAAAACAGUUGGGUAUACCUCCUAAUUCAGAUCCGAAAGCAAUAUGGAUUGUUUCUAGAAUCGGGUCCUUUCUCAAGGAAAAGUUUCUCUCGAAAUAAUUGAGUGGGAGGAUGGUGGAGACUUGAUGAGGUUAUUGAAACGUCUCUUCAACUAGUGUGUGACAGGGCACAGGGAGUUGUUCCUGUGGCACCUACACCAAUUGAAGUGGAAGCUUAUGAUAUUGAUCAUGAAAUUUUGGAUCAAGUCACUCCCAAACCUCGUAGGAUGACAAGGAUGCGUACUACUUCAGAGUGGUACGUAAUCAUGUCUUGAAGGUCAUGUUGCUAGACAACAAUGAACCUACGAGCUAUGGAGAAGCGAUGGUGGGCCCGGAUUCCGAUAAAUGGCUUGAGGCCAUAAAAUCCGAGAACGGAUCCAUGGACUUUGGUGGACUUGCCCGAUGAUCGGCAAGCCAUUAAGAUAAAUGGAUCUUUAAGAAGAAGACAGACGUGGAUGGUAAUGUCACCGUCCAUGAAGCUCGACUUGUGGCGAAAAGUUUUUCACAAGUUCAAGGAGUUGACUACGAUGAGAUUUUCUCAUCCGUAGCGAUGCUUAAGUCCGUCGGAAUCAUGUUAGCAUUAGCUGCAUUUAUGAAAUCUGGCAGACGGAUGUCAAAACGAGUUUCCUUACCAGUUUUCGUAAGGAAAGGUUGUAUGUAAUACAAUCAGAAAGUUUUUGUCGAUCCUAAGGAUGCUAAAAGGUAUGCAAAGCUCCAGCAAUCCUUCUAAGGACUGGAGUGAGCAUCUCGGAGUUGGAAUGUUUGCUUUGAUGAUGAUCAAAAUUUUGGGUUUGUACAAAGUUUAUGAGAAACUUGUAUUUCCAAAGAAGUGAGUGGGAGCACUAUAGAAUUUCUGAUGAGUAUAUGUUGUUGACAUAUUGUUGAUCAGAAAUGACGUAGAAUUUCUGGAAAGCAUAUAGGGUUAUUUUGAAAGUGUUUUUCAAUGGAAAGCCUGGAUUAAGCUGCUUGAGCAUUGAGCAUCAAGAUCUAUAAGGAUAGAUCAAAACGCUUAAUGGUACUUUCAAAUGAGCACAUACCUUGACAUGAUCUUGAAGGUGUUCAAGAUGGACCAGUCAAAGAAGGAGUUCUUGCCUGAGUUGUAAGGUACAAAGUUAAGACUUAAAGCUCGACCACGGCAGAAUAGAGAGAAAGGACGAAGGUCAUCCCCUAUGCUUGAGACGUAGGCUCUUCAGUAUGCUAUGCUGUGUACCGCACCUGAAGUGUGCCUUGCCAUGAGUCAGUCAAGGGGUACAAGAGUGAUCCAAGAAUGGCUCACAGGACAGCGGUCAAAGUUAUCCUUAGAAAUUAGUGGACUAAGGAAUUUUUCUCGAUUAUGGAGGUGGUAAAAGAGUUCGUCGUAAAGGGUUACGUCGAUGCAAGCUUGACACCUAUCCGGAUAGCUCUGAGUAGAGAUACCAGAUACAUAUAAUGGAGCAACAAUUUAGAAUAGCUCCAAGUAGAACAGUUAUUUGGAAUAGCUCCAAAUAGAGCGUGGUAGCUACAUCUAGGAGAUGACAUAGAGAUUUGUAAAACACACACGGAUCUGAAAGGUUCAGACCCGUUGACUAAAACCUCUCUCACAAGCAACAUGAUCAAACUUAAAACUCAUUGAGUAUUAAUCACAUACUGAUGUGAACUAGACUACUGAUUCUAGUAAACUCUUGGGUGUUAGUCACAUGGCGAUGUGACCUGUGAGUGUUAAUCACAUGGUGAUGUGAACUAGAUUAUUGACUCUAGUGCAAGUGGGAGACUGUUGGAAAUAUGCCCUAGAGGCAAUAAUAAAAGUAUUAUUAUUAUAUUUCCUUGUUCAUGAUAAUUGUCUUUUAUUCAUGCUAUAACUGUAUUAUCCGGAAAUCGUAAUACACGUGUGAAUACAUAGACCACAAUAUGUCCCUAGUGAGCCUCUAGUUGACUAGCUCGUUGUGAUCAACAGAUAGUCAUGGUUUCCUGGCUAUGGACAUUGGAUGUCGUUGAUAACGGGAUCACAUCAUUAGGAGAAUGAUGUGAUGGACAAGACCCAAUCCUAAGACUAGCACAAAAGAUCGUGUAGUUCAUUUGCUAGAGCUUUGCCAAUGUCAAGUAUCUCUUCCUUGACCAUGAGAUCGUGUAACUCCUGGAUACCGUAGGAGUGCUUUGGGUGUAUCAAACGUCACAACGUAACUGGGUGACUAUAAAGGUGCACUACAUGUAUCUUCGAAAGUAUCUAUUGUUUUAUGCGGAUCGAGACUGGGAUUUGUCACUCCGUGUAAACGGAGAGGUAUCUCUGGGCCCACUCGGUAGGACAUCAUCAUAUGCGCAAUGUGACCAAGGAGUUGAUCACGGGAUGAUGUGUUACGGAACGAGUAAAGUGACUUGCCGGUAAUGAGAUUGAACAAGGUAUCAGUAUACCGACGAUCGAAUCUCGGGCAAGUAAAAUACCGCUAGACAAAGGGAAUUGUAUACGGGAUCGAUUGAGUCCUUGACAUCGUGGUUCAUCCGAUGAGAUCAUCGUGGAACAUGUGGGAGCCAACAUGGGUAUCCAGAUCCCGCUGUUGGUUAUUGACCGGAGAACGUCUCGGUCAUGUCUGCAUGUCUCCCGAACCCGUAGGGUCUACACACUUAAGGUUCGAUGACGCUAGGGUUAUAAAGGAAGCUUGUAUGUGGUAACCGAAUGUUGUUCGGAGUCCCGUAUGAGAUCCCGGACGUCACGAGGAGUUCCGGAAUGGUCCGGAGGUAAAGAUUUAUAUAUAGGAAGUCCUGUUUCGGGCAUCGGGACAAGUUUCGGGGUCAUCGGUAUUGUACCGGGACCACCGGAAGGGUCCCGGGGGCCCACCGGGUGGGGCCACCUGCCCCGGGGGCCACAUGGGCUGUGGGGGUGCGCCUUGGCCUACAUGGGCCAAGGGCACCAGCCCCAAGAGGCCCAUGCGCCUAGGGAACCCUAGAGGGAAGAGUCCUCAAGGGGGAAGGCACCUCCGAGGUGCCUUAGGGAGGAUGGACUCCUCCCCCCCUCUUGGCCGCCGCACCAGAUGCCAUCUGGAGGCUGGCCGCUGCCCCUUGGGGUGGGAAACCCUAAAGGGGGUGCAGCCCUCCCCUUCCCCUAUAUAUAUGAGGCCUAGGGGCUGCCCAUGACACACGAUUUGAUCUCUCGUUGGUGCAGCCCUGCCCCUCUCCCUCCUCCUCCUCUCCCAUGGUGCUUGGCGAAGCCCUGCUGGAUUGCCACGCUCCUCCACCACCACCAUGCCGUUGUGCUGCUGUUGGAUGGAGUCUUCCUCAACCUCUCCCUCUCUCCUUGCUGGAUCAAGGCGUGGGAGACAUCACCGGGCUGUACGUGUGUUGAACGCGGAGGUGCCGUCCGUUCGGCACUUGAUCAUCGGUGAUCUGAAUCACGACGAGUACGACUCCAUCAACCCCGUUCACUUUAACGCUUCCGCUUAGCGAUCUAUAAGGGUAUGUAGAUGCACUCUCCUUCUACUCGUAGCUGGUUUCUCCAUAGAUAGAUCUUGGUGACGCGUAGGAAAAUUUUGAAUUUCUGCUACGUUCCCCAACAAUUAUGUGCCUCAUUCAUAAUGACUUUCCUUAGACCACCUUUAGGAACCACAAUUCGAUCCUCGAAGAAAAGAGUGUCUUUGUCAUCAAUGCGAUAGCACUUGUAUUUAGGUUUGCUCUUGGCAAUCCCAUUUUUCACCUUCUUCACCAUGGAAUUCAGGAGUUGUGCCUCAUGAAUUUGAUCUUCCAAAGUAGGAGAGACUUGGAGGUUGGCAAGAAAGCCUUGAGGAACAACUUGGAGAUUCAGUUUGCGGAAAGCUUCACAAAGGUCCGGUUGGAAGGGCUUGAGAAUUAAACUGUUGCAGUAAGCCUUCCUGCUCAAAGCAUCUGCAAUCACAUUGGCCUUGCCUGGAGUAUAUUCAAUACUCAGAUUGUAUUCUUGAAUCAUUUCGACCCAACGAGUCUACCUGAGGUUGAGGUUGGGUUGAGUGAAGAUGUACUUGACGCUCUUAUGAUCUGUGAAGAUGCCCACUUUGUUUCCCAACAAGAGAUGUCUCCACGUUAAUAAUGCAUGGAAAACUGCCGCCAACUCAAGAACAUGAGUGGGGUAGUUCCUUUCGUUGGGCUUCAACUGACGAGAGGUAUAAGCCACAACUUUCUUCUCUUGCAUUAACACAGCACCGAGACCUUGUAGGGAGGCACCACAGAAAACUUCAAAUGGCUUGGAUUCAUCAGGAGGAGUCAAGACAGGAGCUGUGACUAACUUCUCUUUCAGGGUGUUGAAAGCAAUGUCACAUUCAGGCGUCUAGACAUACUUGACAUGCUUCUGGAGGAGGUUGGAAAGAGGCUUUGCAAUCCUAGAGAAAUUCUCAACGAAUCUUCGACAAUAUCUUGCAAGCCCAAGAAAACUACGGAGCUGCUUGACAUUUUGAGGAGGUUCCCAAUUCACAAUUGCAAACACCUUCUCAAGAUUAACAGUGAUGCCCUUGGCGGAGAUGAUAUGACCCAGGUAAAGAACCUCAUCAAGCUAGAACUCGCACUUUGAAAACUUUGCAUAGAAUUGAUGCUCUCUGAGUUUGUCAAGCACCAAUCUUAAAUGCUUGGCAUGAUCCUCCUUAUUCUUGGAAAAGACCAAGAUUUCAUCGAGAUACACCAGGACGAAAUCAUUUGUGCAAGGGUUGAAGAUGAAGUUCAUUAUGCGAGAGAACGUUGGAGGAGCCUUGACAAGGCCGAAAGAUAUGACAGUAUAUUCAUAAGAACCAUAGCUUGUUCUGAAUGCUGUCUUGGGAAUAUCUUGUUCAUGAAUGCGAAUCUGAUGAUAACCCAUAUGGAGGUCAAGCUUGGAGAAUACUUUAGCACCUUUAAGUUGCUCGAAUAGCUCAUUGAUGUUAGGGAGUGGAUACUUGUUCUUUAUUGUCUUCUUGUUUAAUGGACGGUAGUCGACGCAGAGUCGUUCCGUUCCAUCCUUCUUUUUGACAAAAAGGACACCACAACCCCAUGGGGAUGAACUCGGUAUGAUCAGACCCAUAUGCUCUUGUUCAUCGAGCUGUUUCUUCAACUCCUUCAACUCCUCUGGUCCAAGCUUGUAAGGACGCUUGCAAACAGGUUCCAUGCCAGGAUCAAGAUCGAUAACGAAUUCAACUGGCCGGUGAGGAGGCAUUCCCGGAAGCUCUUCUUGAAAGAUGUCUUGAUAUUCACAAACGACAGGAAUCUGAGAGAUGGCAUUCAACUCGCCCUUCUCAUUGAGAGAAAACAGUCGAAUGGUAUCAUCCCGAGCGGCAAAUAGGAUCACAUCAUCAGAAGAGUGUGUCAAUUGAAUUUGCAUGGCAGCACAAUCAAGCUGAGCCUUGUGCUUAGAAAGCCAGUCCAUGCCGAGAAUUAGAUCAAUAUCCGAGUCACCAAGAACAAUUGGAGAAGACAUAAAUUUAUAAUUUCCCAUCUUGAUGGAAACAUCUGGAACCAUAUAGCUUGCGUACAUGCAUUUACCCGAAGAGACAACUGCUAACGGUCUAGGCAAAUCUUGGAAAGGCAACUCAUGCUUAGAUGCAAAUGGUCUUGAGAUGUGUAGCGCCCCGAGACCGAUGCGCCAGGUGUCUUCCAGUUAUUCGCUGUCGUUACCCUGUCAUUUGCUUGCGUGUCGCAUCUUGCCAUGUCAUCAUGUGCAUUGCAUUAUCAUGUUUUCAACACUUGCAUCCGUCCAGGUUUCUCCCAGUUCUUUCCGUUGUCCGUUCUGAGCCCAGGCACACUCGCACGCUCUCGUGGCAUGUCCGAAAUAUUAUUUUAUAAGUGGUCAUAAAAUGUUCUCGGAAUGGGUUAAAAGUUGGAAUGUGGUGUUGUUAUGUUGCCAGUAGGCCGCCUGCCAAGUUUCAUCGCAUUCAGAGUCCGUUUGACGCCCCUACGGAUAACUAUAGCGGCAUUAUAGUCGGUCAAACCGUCGGACGUUUUCGAUCUCCAAGACUGCUGUCGGGCCUCUCUCUCUCUUCUCUCCCCUCGGCCCGAGGCCUUCUGCAUAGCCCACCCGCUGCCCAACCUAACCCUCCUCAUGUCCGGAGCCGUCCGAUUAUGAUCGGAGGACCCCGACACCCCCCUUGCCUCCGUGGCCUUUUGUGAGACCCCCUCUCUCCGCACAGUUCUCAGACCCCCUCGCGCGUCCGAAAACUUACCUGAACCCGACCUGAGCAGUCAUGACCGUUGGUUCCGGAUCAUCCCCAAAUGUCCCUAAAACAUCUUCGGUAUCUUAUUUGGACGCCCAUAGCCUAAUUUUCUCGACCGUCUGAUUUGAAUCGGAGGGCCCAAAUGCACCCCAAAUCCACCUGCUUUAUAAAUAUCGGUCUAACCCUAGUUUUUAGGCCCCUGUCCCAUCCAUUCCAUCCGCAGCGCCACCACUCCCUCGGGAUCUUGCCAGAUCCUUCCCGAGCCAACCACCACAGCCGCACCCAUAGACCAAAUCCUCUCAGCCAACUCCCUGGUGUUCCAUCGUCGCCCAACCACAGGAAAGCCGCGCCUCCUCGCAACCCGCCGGCGACCGGACCUUGCAGGAGAUGAGUUCCCCGCUGUGCCCUGCUCCCGUCCUUCCCCAUCUGCUCUCUCUUCUCUCUCUCACGCUCUCUCUCUCAUCUCUCCCUCUCUGUCUCUUCUCAAGGAACGAGUGGGAGACGCCAUGGCCGCCCGCGGAAGCUCCGUCGUCGCCAGGAUCAAGUUCCUCUGGCCUCGGCCCCGGAUCCGACCUCUUCAGCCUCCUGCAGACCGCCGUUACCUCUGCUUCACGGAACCACGCCACACCGUCCUGGUCACCUGCGACCUCGGGUCGUCUCUACUUCCUCUGCCUCCACAAGCCGGGUCCACCCCAUCCCCAAGCUCGCCGGUGCCUUGCCCCGGACCUCCCGUGAUGCCUGCUGCCGUUGCCGUUCCCUGCCAUGGACGCCUCCCUCCUCCUGCAUCGUGCACUUGCGCAAGAACGAGCACGCGUCCCACUCCCCUGUAGCUUGUGUCGACCGCGUUGAACGUCGCCGGACACCUCUAGAUCCGGCCACUGGGACCCGAGCCGCGCAGGAUCCUUUCGUGGCUCCCGCUGGCCCUCCUCCUUGCCUUGUUCGUCCGUUGCCAUCCCUACCGAUGUCCCCGGUGUCGUCAACCACCUCCUCCUCCUCUGCUUUGAGCAGGAGGACAAGAAGCGCCCGAUCCGCCUCGUUCUCUCGUCAACGCCCGCGCGUGGCCUCUGUGCCCGUUGACCUGGCCUCGUGGGCCUCGCCCCGGCCCAGCAGCGCCCCGCCAGCCUCUCCACCGAACCGGCCUGUUAGGCCCAAUGGUGAGAACACCACAACCCAGCGCCCAGCCAGUUUCGGCCUGCUACGUUUUUUCCUGUUAUGUGAAUUUCCUAAUUUCCACAAAAUUGGCAGUUUUACAGAAAAGCCCUUCAAGUCCAUGCAUUUAAUAACUAUAUAACCAUGCAUCAUAUGUAAAAACUUCAAAUAUGGAAAAUGCUUAGAAUUGCAUCUAGAUUCAUAAUAUCCAACUUUCAUGCAUGUUUAAAAUGUUGUUUGAUUAAAUUUGCUCUAAUAACAUGCUAAAAUGAUUUAAUUCAUAACUAAAUAACUGUAGCUCCAUUUUAAAUAAACUUUAUAUAUAAAUGGGGUAGAAAAAUGCAUAGAUUAACAUGGUGGCAUUACUUUGCAUGUUUGACAACUCUAAAAUAUGGUUUAGGGCAGAACAGUACCAAACCUAAUAUAUGCAUAUGAGGAUUUUCCAGAAUUGUUGUUUGUUAUUCCCGGCCUCAUUUAAACUUGCCUAGAUAGGUAGUUUUCAUAUGCUUCACCUCUUGCCAUGCUAACCAACAUUUAAUAUUGUUAAGUACACAAACGGAAGAGAACUAAAUAAGUCAUGUGGUGUUUCAUCAAUAUGCAACUCGUUGCAUAUUGAGCUCCACUUAAUUUGUAGUAUUGUUUGUGCAUUUUGCCAUGCCAUGCCUCUUUAAACCGGACAUGCAUCAUACUUGGUUGUGCACCAUGCCAUGUUUAUGUGAUGGGUGUUUACUAUUUAGUUUGCUUCUUUACGGGUUGCUUCUCUCGUUAGCUUCGGUUUCGUUCCGGAGUUGUGAGGAUUCAUUCGUAUACGUCCGUUUGUCUUCUUCAUGGACUCGUUCUUCUUCCUUGCGGGAUAUCAGGCAAGAUGACCAUACCCUCGAAACCACUUCUAUCUUUGCUUGCUAGUUGUUCGCUCUAUUGCUAUGUCGCGCUACCUACCACUUGCUAUAUCAUGCCUCCCAUAUUGCCAUGUCAAGCCUCUAACCCACCUUCGUAGCAAACCGUUGUUUGGCUAUGUUACCGCUUUUGCUCAACCCCUCUUAUAGCGUUGUUAGUUGCAGGUGAAGAUAAAGUUUAUUCCAUGUUGGAACAUGGAUUUUGUUGGGAUAUCAUUAUUAUCUCUUAUUUACUUUAAUGCAUCUAUAUACUUGGUAAAGGGUGGAAGGCUCGGCCUUAUGCCUGGUGUUUUGUUCCACUCUUGCCGCCCUAGUUUCUGUCAUACCGGUGUUAUGUUCCUUGAUUUUGCGUUCCUUACGCGGUUGGGUGUUAUGGGAACCCCUUGACAGUUUGAUUUGAAUAAAACUCCUCCAGCAAGGCCCAACCUUGGUUUUACAUUUGCCUAACAACCUAUAAAUUUUCCCUUGGGAGUCGCGCUCCCGAGGGUCAUCUUUAUUUUAACCCCCCCGGGCCAGUGCUUCUCUAAGUGUUGGUCCGAACCAGAUCCACUUGCAGCGCCACCUUGGGGAAAAUUGAGGGCAGGUUUUAGCUGUACGUAGUGUUCAUCCGGUGUUGCCCUGAAAACGAGAUAUGUGUAGCUCCUAUCAGGAUGUCGGUGCAUCGGGCGGUCUUGCUGGUGUUGUUUUACCAUUAUUGAAAUGUCUUGUAAUCGGGAUUCUGAGACUGAUCGCAACACUUUUCGAGGGUAGAGUAUUCAACCCAAAUUUAUUGACUCGACACAAGGGGAGCCAAAGAAUAUUCUCAAGUAUUAGCAGCUUAGUUGUCAAUUCAACCACACCUAGAAACUUAAUAUCUGCAACAAAGUAUUUAGUAGCAAAGUAAUAUGAUAGUAGUGGUAAUGGUGGUAAAAGGUAACGAUAGCAAAGGUAAAUUUUUUGGUGUUUUGUAGUGAUGAUAACAAUAGCAACGGAAAAGUAAAUAAGCGAAGAACAAUAUAUGGAAAGCUCGUAGGCAAUGGAUUGGUGAUGGAGAAUUAUGCCGGAUGCGGUUCAUCAUGUAACAGUCAUAAUCUAGGGUGACACAGAACUAGCUCCAGUUCAUCAAUGUAAUGUAGGCAUGUAUUCCGAAUAUAGUCAUACAUUCUUAUGCAAAAGAACUUGCAUAACAUCUUUUGUCCUACCCUCCCGUGGCAGCGGGGUCCUACUGGAAACUAAGGGAUAUUAAGGCCUCCUUUUAAUAGAGUACCAGACAAAAACAUUAACACAUAGUGAAUACAUGAAAUCCUCAAACUACGGUCAUCACCGGUAAGUAUCCCGAUUACGGUCACUUCGGGGUUAACGGAUCAUAACACAUAAUAGGUGACUAUAGACUUGCAAGAUAGGAUCAAGAACUCUCAUAUAUUGAUGAAAACAUAAUAGGUUCAGAUCUGAAAUCAUGGCACUCGGGCCCUAGUGACAAGCAUUAAGCAUAGCAAAGUCAUAACAACAUCAAUCUCAGAACAUAGUGGAUACUAGGGAUCAAACCCUAACAAAACUAACUCAAUUACAUGAUAAAUCUCAUCCAAACCAUCACCGUCCAGCAAGCCUAGCUACGAUGGAAUUACUCACGCACGGCGGUGAGCAUCAUGAAAUUGGUGAUGGAGGAUGGUUGAUGAUGACGAUGGCGACGGAUUCCCCUCUCCGGAGCUCCAAACGGACUCCAGAUCAGCCCUCCCGAGAGAGUUUAGGGCUUGGCGGCGGCUCUGUGUCGUAAAACAUGAUGAAUCCUUCUCCCUGGGUUUUUUCUCCCCGAAAGUGAAUAUAUGGAGUCAAGGUUGAGGUCGGUGGAGCGUCAGGGGGCCCACGAGGCAGGGGGCGUGCCCAGGGGGGUAGGGCGCGCCCCACCCUCGUGGACAGGUGGAGGCCCCCCUGACGUGGAUCUUACUUCCAUUUUUUUACUAUAUAUUCCAAAAUAAUUCUUCGUUGAUUUUCAGGUCAUUCCGAGAACUUUUAUUUCUGCACAAAAAUAACACCAUGGCAAUUCUGCUGAAAACAGCGUCAGUCCGUGUUAGUUCCAUUCAAAUCAUGCAAGUUAGAGUCCAAAAUAAGGGAAAAAGUGUUUGGAAAAGUAGAUACGAUGGAGACGUAUCAACUCCCCCAAGCUUAAACCUUUGCUUGUCCUCAAGAAAUUCAGUUGAUAAACUGAAAGUGAUAAAGAAAAACUUUUACAAACUCUGUUUGCUCUUGUUGUUGUAAAUAUGUAAAGCCAACAUUCAACUUUUCCGCAAAGAUUCUGAACUAACCAUAUUCACAAUAACAUUUAGGUCUCAUGUUUACUCAUAUCAAUGGCAUAAUCAACUAGCGAGCAAUAAUAAUAAAUCUCGGAUGACAACACUUUCUCAAAACAGUCAUGAUAUGAUAUAACAGGAUGGUAUCUCGCUAGCCCUUUCUGAGACUGCAAAACAUAAAUGCAGAGCACCUUUAAAGAUCAAGGACUGACUAGACAUUGUAAUUCAUGGUAAAAGAGAUCCAUGUCGUGGUUCUAAGCCUGACAGUAGAGUGGGGGUAGGUAUGGAGAGGCAAGGUCCUAGCAAUGGAGAGGUUGUAAACACAAGAGAUGUACGAGUUCAGGCCCUUCUCGGAAGAAGUAAUAGCCCUACGUCUCGGAGCCCGGAGGCGGUCGAGUGGAUUAUGAGUAUAUGAGUUACAAGGUGUCGAACCCCUCUACCUGUGGAGGGGGGCGGCUUAUAUAGAGUGCGCCGGGACCCCAGUCAGCCCACGUAGGAGAGGGUUUAAGGUGAGUUAAGUCCGGGGCGUUACUGAUAACGCCCCACAUAAAGUGUCUUUACUACCAUAAAGUCUACUUAAUUACAGGCCGUUGCAGUGUAGAGUGCCUCUUGACCUUCUGGUGGUCGAGUGAGUCUUCGUGGUCGAGUCCUUCAAGUCAGUCGAGUGAGUCCCUCGUUGGUCGACUGGAAGGCGACCUUUGCUAAGGGUGUCCUUGGGUAAGGUACUUAGAUCAGGUCUAUGACCCUACCCUAGGUACAUGACCCCAUCAUUAGCCCCCGAAUGGAUUGAGGCUUCGAGUGAGGAAGGAGUUGAUGUCGUUUCCGAUUAACCUUUGCACUCUGGUCGUGCGUUGUUCUGGACCAAAGAAUCUCUUCGUCGAUGGUGAGCAACUUGUCUUCAGUCGACUCGAUCCAUUCUCUUCUUUCUUCGAGUGAUCUUUCGGGCUUCGACGAUCCCCGAGCGACGGAUCGCGGGAAACCCCGCGUCUGACAGACUGAUCUGCCGUUCACGGAUUCCGCGGGAUGCGAAAUUUGGGGACGCGCGUGAAGCGGAGCGGACCGCGGCGUUCGGAUGGGACGGGACAUAGACGCCUCGAUCUCCGCGCCGCUUUCUUCGCCAUGUAUCCCGUCUGCAUAACUGUUCCUGGAUAUGAUUAGAUCGACCAGGCCCACCUGUCAUCCACUCGAAAGGGACCUUAUAAAUGCGCCCGGCGAGGAUUUUUGUACUGUGCCUCAGCAUUCUCUCUCUCUGCUCCCUUCGUCUCCGUCCAGCGCGCUCGCUCUUGCCCCCGCACAACUUCCCCUCGCGCAUCUCGCCGGCAACCAUGGCCAAGGAGAAGACGGCGGCGCUGGAACGUGCGAAGAAGGCGUCGGCGUCAGAGAAGGCGAAGGGGAGAUCUACCAGCCGCGGCGGGUCUUCGUCCAGAUCCCGCCUACCGAAGGGCUGGGUCCAAGGAGACUGGAUCCAGUCGACCAUCACAGAAAAAGAUCUCCUCGACAUGGCCAACGAGGGCUUGAUCCCUCAUGGAGCCGCGAGGCUUCCGGGGAAGGAAUGGCAGCCCCAGCCAGAAGAGGGUGAGUGUGUGCUCUUGGCCACCCAUGUUGAUCGUGGAUUUUCUUUGCCGCCGAGUAUUUUCUUCCGUGGCUUCUUGAACUUCUUUGGAGCACAGCUCCACCACUUUACCCCAAAUUCUAUCGCCUAUCUUGCCGCAUUUGUGUCCAUGUGUGAGGGUUUCCUGGGCUGCCGACCGCACUGGGGUUUGUUCAAGCAUAUAUUCACGUGUCGCUCUCAGACCGUGAAGAAGGCGAGCCCAGGCGAUGAAAGAACCCGAGUCGUCCAAAUGUGUGGGGGUCUGGGGAUCCAGGUGAGGAACAAGAGCACCUUCCCGCCCAUGACCUUUCCCGAGUCAGUCAGAGGCUGGCAGUCGACCUGGUUCUACUGCCAGGACCAGUCGACGCCGGGGCAGUCGAGUGGACUCCCUCAGUUUACCAUGGACUGAGUGAACAAGCCCUCCUCUCUGAAGUUGAUUCCGGAGGAGAAAGCUGACGUGAAGAUGUUGAUGGAGCGCGUGGUGCAGUUGGUUCGAGAGGGAGUGACGGGCAUGGAUCUCCUGGAGGUCUUCCUUAGGCGUCGCAUCCAGCCCCUUCAGUUCCAGAGCCACUACAUGUGGUUGUACUGUGGGACUGAAGACGAGACUCGAGUCCAUCCAGAAGCAGUCGACGAUGUCACUCUGGAAAGAUGGAUGGUAGCCGUUACCGGAAACAAGGAUAACCCACGCGGAGCCAGAAGGAUUCCUCCACUCGACCACAACAGCGAUCCAAACAAGGUACGUUUGCUCUGCUCUCCACUGUGUUCUUGUCACAUUCAUUUCUGUUUAUCCUGUCGACUGGUCGAUUGAUCCUUGUCUUGAUAUCUGCUAGGCCCUCACCGAGCUGUACUCGAUGCCCAAUGGGGCGCAAGCUCCGACUGAGGAGGGGGAGGCGAGUGGAGGCGAGAGCCAGGAAGAGGAGGAAUGGGACUCGGACGUUGCUGAGGAUGAUGAUGACGAUGACGAUGAUGACGGUGAUGAAGAUGAUGUUGAAGACGAGGAAGAAGAGGAGGAGGAGGUCGUACCACCGCGCUCGGAAAGGCGGUCGAAGCUUGUCCACGACCCUUCGACUGAACGUGGUAAGGGGGUUGCGACCGCUGCUCAGUCGACCAAACGCCCUCGGACCACCUCUCCAGUGCCGACUGAAAAGGCGCCGAAGCAGCCCAGGGUGGCCUCGUCGAAGCCGAUCAAGCUCCUGCCGAAGAUGAAGGUGUCCAUCCCCACCAUAUCAGGGUAAUCGUGCUACUUAAGUCUUCUUAUUUUGUGUGAACUUUGUCCCUGGUUGACGCUGAAGUUAGUCGACUGAUUCUUUGGAGUUGCAGUGCUGCUACUUCUGAGACCUCAGCCCGGGCUGAUGACCAUGAGAUGGAGGACGCAGCAACUUCAAAACCAGGUACUAUAUUCUUAACGCCGUUUUUAGUCGAUUGACUCGCGAUCUCUGAUCCUGAUUCUUCUCCGUAGCUCCACCCAAUGCUAUUAUCAAUCUCCCUGAUGAUGAUGAGGAUGAGGAACCGCUGAAGCGUAGAAGGAGUAGAAAGGCGUCCGCCAGCAAGGUGCCCCAGGAUGUGACGGCGCCUGAGAUUCUGAUUGCGGAGGAAGAGAACACCACUCGACACACGGUGUCCUUCGCAGAUCCAUUGACGAGUGCUCAGCAGCCCUCCCUCUUCACGACGCACCACGUCCCAGAGGACCAAGCUGGCGCGGCGAAGGAGGCGAUACGCCAGGCGGGAAUCAUGAUGGAGCAGUUGAAGACCAUCCGGGAUGCGAGCCAGGCAUCUUAUGACGCCAGUUCUGCUCUCCAAAGCAAUGUUCAGGUCAGUCGACCACCGUUUGUUCUGUUGGAUAUGCUACCAAAAACUUUUCCUUUCCGGAAUUUAUAGUAGUCACCCACUGGGUGUGUCGAUUAAACUCCGUGUUAGCGGGGGCACGCUGAGUGCACCCGCUGGGUGUAGUCCCCAAGGCUAAGGUCGACUGCUGGCAGUCGGCCUUAGGCUUUAUGAUGUCAAUCUUUCUGUCAGUCGACUAUGUCGACUGGAUUUCACAAACCGGUGGGGGCACGUUGAGUGCACCCACUGGGUGUAGUCCCCGAGACUGUGGUCGACUGCUUGCAGUUGAUUACAGUCUUAAAGAAUACAUCUCUUUUUUUUGAGGUCGACUGGUCGACUUUAUCUUCAACAGGAUCAGUGGGGGCACGCUGAGUGCACCCACUGGGUGUAGUCCCCGAGACUACGGUCGAAUGCUUGUAUUCGGCUGUAGUCUUAGAAACGUGUGUUUUUUCCUUUUUCACUCGGAAGUGAAUUAUAUUUGACAUUUAGUCGAUUGGUUCUUCGCAGAACUCCUGUGAUCUUGUGGCUCGCUACUCUGAGCUGGAAAACAAGCACACUCAACUCGAGCUGAGCUUGAAGCUGGUUCAGGAGAAGCUGACGAAGGCAAAGGAGGAGACCGAAGGUAUGUUUGGUGAGACCCUGAUGACUGCUUUUCCCCUUGCUUGUUUCAAAAUCUGAUCUUGCUGUAACUUGCAGGUAAGGUAAGGGAGGCCCAACAGAAGAAAGACCUCGAACUAGCUGAGAAGAUCAAGCUUGCUGACGAGAAGUUAGCUUCAGUCACCAAGCUUGAACAAGACAAUACCAAUCUGAAAGCUGCUCUUGGGAUUGCCAACAAGGAGGUCAGUCGACUAAAAACUGAUAAAGCUGCCCUGACCGACCAAGUCAGUAAGUUGACUGGGAAGAAAAAUGAUCUGGAGGCCUUCCUGAGUGGUCUUGCCAAGAAGCUGUUUCUUAUGCUUGAAGGUAAACCUCUAUGCUCGGCAAACAUUUCCAAUCGUGGUUUUUCCAUUCGACCAUCCCCUUGACUUAGUGAUCAUCCUUGCAGAAUUUUGUCAAAACUUUGAAGAAGAAACUAGCCGGCUGGAGCCGAACCUCGACCCCGUCAAUUCUCCGGUGAACGACGAAGUUGCCAUGGAUGUUUUCCGACUGGAGUCUCGUGUUGCAGCUGUCGUGGACAAUCUCGCAAGGCUGAAGGCCACCACAUCUCGCAUCGACUCGACGCUCUGGCCUGAGGAGACACUUCAGAAUGACCUUGAGUCGCUGAUGGCCCGCUUGAACACGAUCCCUGGUCGAGUGCAGGAAUGGAAGAAGUCCUCGGCUCGGUGUGGUGCAGAUGUUGCUCUGUGUCUGGCCCGAGUCCACUGUAAAGAUGCGCGAGAAGAGAAGCUGGCGGCCCUUUGGGUGGCCAACACCAAGAAACACGACUUUAGGUCCUUUAUGGAAACUUUCCUUGCGGCUGCCACUCGGAUCACCGACGGAAUUGACCUUGAUGAAUUCGUUGCACCUUCCAGCCCUCCACAGGAGGGGUAAAAAACUUCUUCUGGCUCGACGCUUUAAAUUUGCCUCGGUAUGCCGAGUGGAAUUGUAACCGAUAAACCUUAACAGGCUUAACGCCUGAGCACUUUCGGUUCCUUUAGAUAUCGAUUCAAACUUGAAUUUGGUGCUUGAAUACGAUUGCCUUUGGCUCGAAAUGUCUUUUGCAGGUUCAAAGCAAGGCGCCUUUACUGCAAUCGACUUAUUCUUUAGUCCACUUAGGCGAGUGCUUGGACUGCAGCUAAGCCCCCGAGUGAGAGGCUUGCUCUUCACUCGGUUGGAUUUUUUACAACUUAGGCGAGUGCUUGGACUGCAGCUAAGCCCCCGAGUGAGAGGCUUGCUCUUCACUCGGUAGGAUUUUUUACAACUUAGGCGAGCACAUGGCUGCAGCUAAGCCCCCGAGUGAAAGUCUGGCUUACCACUCGGUAGGAUUUUGAUAACUUAGGCGAGUGCUUGGACUGCAGCUAAGCCCCCGAGUGAGAGGUUCGCUCUUCACUCGGUAGGAUUUUNNNNNNNNNNNNNNNNNNNNNNNNNNNNNNNNNNNNNNNNNNNNNNNNNNNNNNNNNNNNNNNNNNNNNNNNNNNNNNNNNNNNNNNNNNNNNNNNNNNNNNNNNNNNNNNNNNNNNNNNNNNNNNNNNNNNNNNNNNNNNNNNNNNNNNNNNNNNNNNNNNNNNNNNNNNNNNNNNNNNNNNNNNNNNNNNNNNNNNNNNNNNNNNNNNNNNNNNNNNNNNNNNNNNNNNNNNNNNNNNNNNNNNNNNNNNNNNNNNNNNNNNNNNNNNNNNNNNNNNNNNNNNNNNNNNNNNNNNNNNNNNNNNNNNNNNNNNNNNNNGGAGAGUGCUUGGACUGCAGCUAAGCCUCCGAGUGAGAGGGUUGCUCUUCACUCGGUAGGAUUUUUGUAACUUAGGCGAGCACAGGGCUGUAGCUAAGCCCCCGAGUGAAAGUCUGGCUUACCACUCGGUAGGAUUUCGAUAACUUAGGUGAGUGCUUGGACUGCAGCUAAGCCCCCGAGUGAGAGGUUUGCUCUUCACUCGGUAGGAUUUUUACAAACUUAGGCGAGUGCUUGGACUGCAGCUAAGCCCCCGAGUGAGAGGUUUGCUCUUCACUCGGUAGGAUUUUUACAAACUUAGGCGAGUCCUUGGACUGCAGCUAAGCCUCCGAGUGGAAGUCUGGCUUACUGCUCGGUAGGAUUUUGAUAACUUAGGCGAAACGGAUUCGCAGCUAAGCCUCCGAGUGGGAGUCUGGCUCACCACUCGGUAGGAUUUUUACAAACUUAGGCGAAACGGAUUCGCGGCUAAGUCACCCACUGAGGGGGAAUUUUAUUGGACAAAAAUAAAAAGUGACAGAAAUUAUGGAGGAACUAUGACACUAUUAUUUUGAGGUCCAUGAACUACAGAAGUACUUUAUUGCAACUCAUCCGAGUGAUAAAACUUAAGUAUAAAAUGGGCGUAGUAGUUCCGCGUUCCAAGCUCGGGGCUCGUCGAUAUUAUGCUCGACGUUGUAAAGACGGUACGCCCCGUUGUGGAGAACCUUGGUGACGAUGAAGGGACCUUCCCAAGAAGGAGCAAGCUUGUGUGGUUUGUGCUGAUCCACUCGGAGAACUAAAUCUCCUUCCUGGAAGGCUCGACCUCUCACAUUUCUGGCGUGGAAACGACGCAAAUCUUGUUGGUAGAUGGUCGAACGGAUCAGAGCCAUCUCCCUUUCUUCCUCUAAAAGGUCGACUGCGUCGUGCCGCGCUUGUUCAGCCUCUGCUUCGUUGUAGAUUUCAACUCGAGGAGCAUUGUGGAGAAGAUCACUCGGCAAGACUGCUUCAUCUCCGUAGACCAAGAAGAAUGGAGUUCUUCCGGUCGACCGAUUAGGUGUGGUCCGCAGCCCCCAAAGCACUGAGGGAAGUUCGUCGACCCAAGCUCCAGCCGCGUGUUUGAGAUCACGCAUCAGUCGGGGCUUCAAUCCCUUAAGAAUCAGUCCAUUAGCUCGCUCUGCUUGUCCAUUCGACCGCGGAUGGGCGACUGAAGCGUAGUCGACCCGUGUGCCUUGGGAGUUGCAGAAAUCUCUGAAUGAUGCUGUGCGGGACUCCAUAUCUGAAUAUUAGUUCCCUGAUGAAGCUAACAUCAGUACCGGUGUCAAGGUUCUUGAUUGGUUUAGCCUCGAUCCACUUGGUGAACUUGUCGACUGCCACCAGUACAUGGGUGAAGCCACUUCGUCCUGUUCUCAAAGGACCGACCAUGUCCAGUCCCCAUACUGCGAAAGGCUAGACGAGUGGGAUGGUCUUCAGAGCCGACGCAGGCUUGUGCGACAUAUUCGAGUAGAACUGACAUCCCUCGCACUUAUCCACUAUCUCUUUUGCCAUCUCAUUCGCCUUUGGCCAGUAAAAUCCGGCUCGGUAUGCUUUGGCCACGAUGGUCCGAGAGGACGCAUGAUGACCACAGGUCCCUGAGUGGAUAUCAUUGAGGAUGAGUCGACCUUCUUCUGGUGUUAUGCACUUCUGACCAACUCCAGUCGCGCUUUCUCUGUAUAAUUGUCCUUUGAUUACGGUAAAGGCCUUAGAUCGACGGACGAUCUGUCGAGCCUCUUCCUCAUCCUCCGGAAGCUCUUUUCUCAGGAUAUACGCGACAUACGGAACUGUCCAGUCGGGAAUGACCACCAAGACCUCCAUGAUCAAGUCGACCACCGCUGGGACCUCAAUCUCAGUCGGAUCUGUGGCACUCUUGGGCUGUGGAGUUUCUUCGGUGAAAGGAUCUUCUUUGACUGACGGAGUGCGUAUAUGCUCCAAGAACACACCACUCGGAAUGGCUUCUCUCUUGGAACCUAUCUUUGCUAGAUCAUCAGCUGCUUGAUUUUUCAGUCAGGGUAUAUGAUGGAGCUCCAACCCCUCGAACUUCUUUUCCAGCUUCCUCACUGCACUGCAGUAUCCAGUCAUGGCUGGACUUCUCACGUCCCACUCUUUCAUAACCUGGUUGAGCACUAAAUCCGAGUCGCCAUAGACCAUCAGGCGACGGACGCCGAGUGAAAUGGCCAUGCGCAACCCGUAUAAGAGGGCCUCAUAUUCUGCCUCAUUGUUGGAGGAAUCAAAGUGAAUCUGGAGCACAUAUCUGAGCUUAUCUCCUCUGGGGGAAACCAGGACAACCCCAGCACCGGAACCAUUCAACAUCUUAGAGCCAUCAAAGAACAUGGUCCAAUGCUCCGAGUGAACUUCAGUCGGCUGCUGUUGUUCAAUCCACUCGGCGAGGAAAUCUGCUAUUGCCUGGGACUUAAUGGCUUUCUUUGCCUCAAACUUGAUAUCAAGGGGAAGAAGUUCAAUCGCCCAUUUGGCCACUCGACCAGUUGCAUCUCUGUUGUGCAAAAUCUCUGAUAGUGGAGCGUCGCUGACGACUGUGAUGGAAUGAUCAGAAAAAUAAUGAGCAACCUUUUUUGUGGUCAUGUAUAUUCCAUACACAAGCUUCUGAUAAUGAGGAUAUCUCUGCUUGGAUGGAGUCAAGACUUCAGACAAAUAAUACACUGGGCGCUGAACUUUGAGAGCUUUUCCUUCUUCUUCCCGCUCGACCGUAAGCACAGUACUGACGACUUGUCCUGUGGCUGCAAUAUAGAGCAACAGAGGCUCUUUGCUGAUUGGAGCAGCAAGCACCGGCUGGGUGGAGAGCAGAGUUUUGAGCUCGGCAAACGCUGCAUCAGCUUCUGGAGUCCACUCGAACUUGUCUGUCUUCUUCAUCAGUCGGUAAAGAGGCAAUGCCUUUUCACCGAGUCGUGAGAUGAAUCGACUUAAUGCGGCCAAGCAUCCAGUAAGCUUCUGGACAUCGUGCACUCGCACAGGGCGUUUCAUUCGGAGAAUAGUGCCAAUCUUCUCUGGGUUAGCGUCGAUUCCCCGUUCGGAAACGAGAAAACCGAGUAACUUGCCACCAGGAACUCCAAAUGUGCACUUUGAUGGAUUGAGCUUGAUAUCAUAUCUUCUGAGGUUGGCAAAUGUUUCGGCGAGAUCAGCGAGCAGGUCGGAACCUUUUCGUGACUUGACAACGAUAUCAUCCAUAUAUGCUUCCACAUUCCGACUGAUUUGAGUGAGUAGACACUUCUGAAUCAUUCACAUAAAUGUGGCUCCGGCAUUCUUGAGGCCGAAUGGCAUGGUGAUAUAGCAGAAGCACCCGAAUGGAGUGAUGAAAGCUGUUUUUACCUCGUCGGGUCCGUACAGACGGAUCUGGUGGUACCCGGAGUAGGCAUCUAGAAAAGACAGCCUCUCGCAUCCCGCGGUCGAGUCAACAAUUUGAUCUAUGCGAGGGAGAGGAAAAUGAUCUUUCGGGCAGGCCCGGUUGAUGUGCUUGAAAUCAAUGCACAUUCGGAGCGACUUGUCCUUCUUAGGAACCAUGACGACAUUAGCGAGCCACUCGGAGUGGUAUAUCUCUCGGAUAAAUCCUGCCGCCAACAGUCGAGCCACUUCCUCACCAAUGGCUUUUCUCUUCUGGACGGCGGACCGCCGAAGAUGCUCUUUGACUGGUUUUGUAGACGAGUCGACUCUUAGGCGAUGCUCAGCCAGUCCCCUGGGAACACCUGGCAUGUCAGCGGGCUUCCAUGCAAAAAUGUCCCAGUUCUCACGGAGGAACUGGAUGAGCACUUCUUCCUAUUUUGGGUCGAGUGUUGUGGAGAUGCGGGUCGGAGCUGCAUCGGGGUCGGUCGGGUGAAUGUGAACAGGCUUCGUCUCACCGGACGACUGGAAUGCAGACUCUGUGGCGGGUUUCUUUGAUCGCAGCAAGUCACUCGGAUCUGCGUUUUGCUUGUAUUCUUCGAACUCGACCGCUGUCACCUGGGAAUCGGCAAUCUUUGAGCCCUUCUGAAAGCACUCUUCUGCCUUUUUCCGAUCACCAGUGACAGUGAUCACUCCUUUGGGGCCGGGCAUCUUCAAUUUGAGGUACACGUAACAUGGUCGAGCCAUGAACCGUGCGUAAGCUGGUCUCCCCAAAAUGGCAUGAUAUGCACUCUGAAAAUCCACGACCUCAAACGUCAACUUUUCUUUGCGAAAAUGUUUCGAAUCACCAAACACCACGUCCAAAGCUAUUUGGCCGAGUGACUCGGCUUUCUUCCCUGGUAUAACUCCAUGAAAGCUCAUGUUACUAGUGCUCAGUUGGGACAUCGGAAUGCCCAUUCCUUUCAGUGUGUCUGCAUACAACAAAUUCAGCCCGCUUCCACCGUCCAUCAGCACUUUUGUCAGUCGAGUGCCUUCGACAACUGGAUCGACCACCAAAGCUUGCCUCCCAGGGGUGGCAAUAUGAGUCGGGUGAUCAGAUUGGUCGAAUGUGAUGGGUAUUUGAGACCAUUUCAGAUAAUUUGCUUUUGCUGGGGCAACCAUGUUCACCUCUCGGUUAAUGACUUUCAGUCGACUCCUGCUUUCCACAUCUGCAAAGAUCAUCAGAGUGGAGUUGAUAUGCAGAUAUCCUUCCUCACUGUCCUCCUUGUCUUCGGCCUUGUCCGACUCCUUCUCCUUGUCCCUAGACUGUUUUCCCUGAAACUGCUGGAUCAGGAGUCGACAUUGGCGGGUGGUGUGCUUCGGGUAGAUGAUAUUUCCCUCGUCGUCUUUCUUCGUGUGGAUGUGACAUGGCAUAUCCAUUACGUCGUUCCCUUCUUUAUCCUUUACCUUCUUGGGGUUCCAGGAUCCUUUUGGUUUCCCCUUAAACUUUCCUUGAGUCACGGCCAGAGCCUCUCCAGGAGCUGCCGGUUCAGCCUUCCGCUUCUGUUUCCGACUGGUGUUUCCUUUUUCCGACUGACUCGGCUUGUGCUUGCCGCUUCGGAGUCGGUCUUCUUCUUCGCCGUUGGCGUACUUGGUAGCAAUCUCCAUCAUCCGACUCAAGGUCAUGUCACCGGUUCGACCAAACUUCAAACUCAGUUCUCUGUUCUUGACGCCAUCUUUGAAGGCGCAUACUGCCUGAUGAUCAGACACAUUCUCCACAGUGUGGUGCAAAGUGAUCCAUCUCUGAAUAUACUCUCUCAGAGUCUCAUUGGUCUUCUGCACGCAGACUUGCAACUCUGUUAGUCCAGCUGGUCGCUUGCAAGUUCCUUCAAACGUUCUGAUGAACACUCGGGACAAAUCUUCCCAAGUGUAAAUGCUGCUAGGCGGUAAUUGAGUUAACCAUGCCCUGGCAGAGCCUUCCAGCAUGAGGGGUAAAUGCUUCAUGGCCACCUCGUCGUUCCCACCACCAAUCUGAACUGCCACUCGGUAGUCCUCAAGCCAAGUUUCAGGCUUAGACUCACCAGUGAACUUGCUGACUCCUGUUGCCAACCUGAAAUUGGGAGGGAUAACUGCGGCUCUGAUAGCUCUGCUGAAACAUUCAGGACCAGAAACAUGCACUCGACUACUUGUGGGUGCAUCUCUGUCGAGUCCGCCUCGAUGGGCUCUGUUCCGGUCGACCAAACCUUGCACGAUAAUGGAUCGCGCGUCGAAGCCUGGUUCUCUGGGGUCGACUGGAACCCUUCGCCCUGUACUGUACUGACGCCUGUCAUCUUGCUGCCGAGGAGCGUAAGACCCACCCCUCGGAGGGGAAUGGGGCACUCGACGCCUAUCAUCUCGGUCGAGUCGGUCACCAUAUUGGCCUCGCCGAUUCUCGUGCCCCUCACGCCGCGGAGGCGAUCUGGGACUGUGAGCCGACUGAACCGUAUUCGUAGUGACGGAUCGACUGUGAAUUCUGUUGCGCGACUGAGACACGGCUGAAUUCUGAUCUCCUGCUGCCCGGAGCAGAUCCCUGAUCUGCCGCAAACCUCUGCCAGCUUCCGACUGCGAAGGCUGGAUGGACUCUGCUAUACGGGUCGCAGCUGCUAAAUUCUGGAUUGGGGUUCGAUAUACCUGAGUCGGCGGGAAGAGUUGACGUCGACUGGUGUCGGGAACUCGUUGCCGCGCGCGCUCGUCGAGUGCUCGCUGAAGAUUCUCCAGUCGAGUGCGUUCGGCCAAAUUGGCCAGACGUGCCUCCUCCAAGGCACGAGCCUCGGGGGUUUCUCCUGCGAUGGGAGUACGCAGAGCAUCCACGUUCCUUCGGCGAAGUUCCUCUCUUUGAAGAGAGUCGAGUGGCUCGGGCUGGUACUCUUCGUGGCCUCGUGCGGGGUCGCCUCCGUCGCCUGCUCCACCAUCACGGGCGAAGCCAGGGGGACUGCGGGGCCCGUCGACCAUCAAGAUUUCCGCCGCUGGAUCACUGCUACCGCACUCGGAUGCCGUCUCUACGGAGCCAGUCGACAGAUCGAACAAGCCGUAGAGAGAUUCGUCGGGCUCGAUUGCCGCAACUUGGGUGGUGGCCGAUUGGCGAGCCACCGCGUGCCUCACCCAUCGCUGAAGCCUCGACCGGCCCGAGCGCUUGCGCUGGCGGGAGACCGGGAGGGUGGACGAUGGAGGAGCUGACCGAUACGGGGUCGACGGUUGCCGCAGCAGAACGCCGCGGACACAUGUGCGAAAAUGCGUCGCACCGCGGACGGGGAGCGCAUCAACGUCGAGUGGAGCCUCCUGGAGCCACGCGGAGUCGUCGGCGAUGAAGGUGAGAGUGCCGAGACAGAUCUCUCGACCCUCGACCAAAACUCCAGCAGUCACCAUGAUGAAAGUACUCAGAAGAAUCGCAACUUCUCCACAAAAUCGCUAAAACACCUGCCCCAAGGUGGGCGCCAACUGUCGUGGUUCUAAGCCUGACAGUAGAGUGGGGGGUAGGUAUGGAGAGGCAAGGUCCUAGCAAUGGAGAGGUUGUAAACACAAGAGAUGUACGAGUUCAGGCCCUUCUCGGAAGAAGUAAUAGCCCUACGUCUCGGAGCCCGGAGGCGGUCGAGUGGAUUAUGAGUAUAUGAGUUACAAGGUGUCGAACCCCUCUACCUGUGGAGGGGGCGGCUUAUAUAGAGUGCGCCGGGACCCCAGUCAGCCCACGUAGGAGAGGGUUUAAGGUGAGUUAAGUCCGAGGCGUUACUGAUAACGCCCCACAUAAAGUGUCUUUACUACCAUAAAGUCUACUUAAUUACAGGCCGUUGCAGUGUAGAGUGCCUCUUGACCUUCUGGUGGUCGAGUGAGUCUUCGUGGUCGAGUCCUUCAAGUCAGUCGAGUGAGUCCCUCGUUGGUCGACUGGAAGGCAACCUCUGCUAAGGGUGUCCUUGGGUAAGGUACUUAGAUCAGGUCUAUGACCCUACCCUAGGUACAUGACCCCAACAAUCCAGUCAAGUCAUACUCAAUGUAAACUAACAGUAAUGGAUGCAAAUGACAGCAGUGCUCUCCGACUGGUGCUUUUUAAUAAGAGGAUGAUGACUCAGCAUAAAAGUAAAUAGAUAGGCCCUUCGUAGAGAGAAGUGGGGAUUUGUAGAGGUGCCAGAGCUCAGUUUUGAAAUAGAUAUGAAUAAUAUUUUGAGCGGUAUACUUUCAUUGUCAACAUAACAACCAAGAGAUGGUGAUAUCUUCCAUGCUACACACAUUAUAGGCGGUUCCCAAACAGAAUGGUAAAGUUUAUACUCCCCCUCCACCGACAAGCAUCAAUCCAUGGCUUGCUCGAAACAACGAGUGCCUCCAACUAACAACAGUCCCGGGGGAGUUUUGUUUGCAGUUAUAUUGAUUUGAUUUGCAUAAAGCAUGGGACUGGGCAUCCCGGUGAUCAGCCAUUUUCUCGUGAGUGAGGAUCAGAGUCCACUCCUCUUGAGAAUAACCCGCCUAACAUGGAAGAUACGGACAACCCUAGUUGAUACAUGAGCUAUUCGAGCAUACAAAACAGAAUGUUUAUUUGAAGGUUUAGAGUUUGGCACAUACAAAUUUACUUGGAAUGGAAGGUAGAUACCGUAUAUAGGUAGGUAUGGUGGACUCAUAUGGAAUAACUUUGGGGUUUAUGGAAUUGGAUGCACAAGCAGUAUUCCCGCUUAGUACAGGUGAAGGCUAGCAAAAGACUGGGAAGCGACUAGCUAGAGAGCGACAACAGUCAUGAGCAUGCAUUAAAAUUAAUCAACACCGAAUGCAAGCAUGAGUAGGAUAUAGUGCACCAUGAACAUAAAUAUCAUAGAGGCUAUGUUGAUUUUGUUUCAACUACAUGCGUGAACAUGUGCCAAGUCAAGCCACUCGAAUCAUUCAAAAGAGGAUAACACCCUAUCAUACCACAUCACAACCAUUUUAAUAGCAUGUUGGCAUGCAAGGUAAACCAUUAUAAGUUCCUAGCUAAUUAAGCAUGACAUAAGCAACUAUAAUCUCUAAUCGUCAUUGCAAACAUGUUUAUUCAUAAUAGGCUGAAUCAGGAACGAUGAACUAAUCAUAUUUACAAAAACAAGAGAGGUCGAGUUCAUACCAGCUUUUCUCAUCUCAAUAAGCUCAUCAUAUAAUCAUCAUUAUUGCCUUUCACUUGCACGACCGAAUAGUGUGGAUAAUAAUAAUAGUGCGCGUGCAUUGGACUAAGCUGGAAUCUGCAAGCAUUCAAUUCAAGAGAGAAGACAAGGUAAUAUGGGUUGUUUGUCUAAUCAAUCAAUAAUGCGUAUAAGAGCCACUCAACAUUUUAAUUAUGGUCUUCUCCUCUCGACCCCCAAAGAACAAGAAACAAAAUAAAACUAUUUACAUGGGAAAGCUCCCAACAAGCAAAAGAAGAACAAGAAAUAUUUUUGGGUUUUCUUUUUAAUUACUACUGCAACAGGCAUGGAAAGUAAACUAAUUAAAAGCUACAACUAAUUUUUUUUGUUUUUAUCAAGGUUUAUUAAACACACAAGAAGAAAGCAUAAAAAGGAAAAUAAACUAGCAUGGAUGAUACAAUGAAAAAGUAUGAGAACCGACAACUAGCAAUGAGUGUGUGAACAUGAAUGUAAUGUCGGUGAGAAAUACGUACUCCCCCAAGCUUAGGCUUUUGGCCUAAGUUGGUCUAUGGCCUUGGCUGGCCUGGCGGAUAUCCAUAGUAAUAGUUGGGGUCAUACCGUGAAGAAGCCUCGGAUUUCCACUGGUUGGCAAUCACCUCCGGAUCCCACUGGUAAUCAGACUGUCGUGGAGGAUCAAAUUGUGGUUCAGGCUCUAGCUCUGUAGCUAAUGUAGGGUUCUGGUAGGCGUGAAUGGCCUCCAACGGAACAAGGUACUUGCCUGCAGAUAAAUCAAACAAGGAAGGAGCAGGCAAGGUAAUAGUCUCAGGAUGAUUUUUUUACCAAAUAUUAAUUUGUACUUAAGCUCCUUUUCCCUAUUCUUAACAAUAAAAUCAUGUGCUACCAUACUCUUAUAAUCUACAUAAACAGGGGGCAUCAAUUUUUCUUCUUUCUCAUAAUGCCUGAUAGGUAUGUUAAAAUGUGCAGCGAGGCACGAGGCGAAGAUGCCUCCAAGCACGGGGUCGUUAGUACGGUUAAGAUUUAACCGCUUUGCAACAAUAGCACCCAUACUAAAUGUGUCAUCAAGGAACAAGGCAUGGCACAAAUUAACAAUAUCAGGGGCACUCAGGUUUCCAAAGUUUCCGCGCCCAAUUAAGCAUCUACUAGCAAAUAUAGCAAAGUAACAUAGAACAAGAAAGUGUAUGCUAGUAAUUCAUGCGUCGGAAACCUUCCUCGUUUCCCCCACAGCAAUGGUAUCAAUAAACCCAUCCACAUCGUCACGAUGUGGUUCCUCCACACUGCCCUCAAAAGGGAUCAAACAAACCCAACAAAAAUCAUAAAGUGACAUCUCCUUAUGCUCAUCAUAUAAAUAAAAUUCCACCGUAGGUGGUGAGCUCCUAGCAUGGAAAUGAAAGUUUCCACAAAGAUAUUGGUGAGUAAGAGAUACUGCUCGCGUCGGUCGUGGAGGAAGGUGGUGAGGCCUGCAUUCUCAGCCAACUCAUAGAAAUCAUCAUAAAUCUCGGCUGCUCUCAAGAAAUUAUCACAAGGCCAUUCACAUGGCCAGACCUCCGCAGUGCGAGGGAGAUUAUACUUGGGCCUCUUAUCCUCCUCACUUUGCUUAUCCUUCGAGCUUCGGCUCGAUGAGGCCCUCAAAAAUAUCUUCAUCUUUUUCUGAAAAUAUCUGAAAUUUUUAGUAACUUCAAAAUAAAAGUGGACCAAACUCAAUAAAAUUGAUAGCAACUACUCCCACAAGUGCCUAAAGGAUAUAUCAUGCAUCAAAACUACUUUUGACCAUAUAAAUUUGACAUGCAAGCUCAAGAACGGGGUCACCUAAGCAGCAAAAAUAUGCAAUGAAUAAAGCACUAUAACAAAAACUAAUUGGACCAUUGGAGGAGUCACAUACCAAGGAACAAUCCCCCAAAGCAGUUUUGUGAGAGGUGCUUUGAGCAAGGAGAUCGAAAAUGGCAGCAAGAUGAGCUUGGACUCGGGUUUGAGCUGGCUAGUGGUGUUUGUGGGAGGAAGGAGUGUGUGGUAGCUGGGAUAAGUGGAGGGGAGCCACCGUGGGCCCAGGAGGCAAGGGGGCGCGCCCAAGGGGUAGAGCGCGCCCACCACCCUCGUGGCUAGGUGCUUGCUCCCCCUGCUGUGUUUUCAGUGCCAAAUAUUCUCAAAUAUUCUAGAAAAAAAUCAUAUUUAAUUUUCAGGGCAUUUGGAGAACUUUUAUUUUCGGGGUAUUUUUUAUUGCAUGGAUAAUUCAAAAAACAGACAGAAAAAAUACUGUUUUUGCUUUAUUUAAUAUAAAUAACAGAAAGUAAAAAGUGGGUAUAGAGAGUUGUGUUUUCUAAAUUCAUCCAUCUCAUGCUCAUCAAAAGGAGUCCACUAAGAAGGUUGAUCAGGUCUUGUUAACAAACUCAUUCCGAAUAACAUGGAACUGGAGAAUUUACGAAUAACACUAGGUUACCUCAACGGGGAUAUGCAUGUCCCCAACAAUAAAAAUAUCAUAUUUCUUCUUGACAGUAGGUAGAGGAAAUUCAAAACCUCCAAAAGUAAUGGUUGAAAAUUUUCCAAUAGAAUUGAUACUGUGGACUUGAGGUUGUUUCCUUGGAAAGUGUACCGUAUGCUCAUUACCAUUAACAUGAAAAGUGACAUUGCCUUUGGUGUAAUCAACAACAGCCCCUGCAGUAUUCAAAAAGGGUCUUCCAAGAAUAAUAGACAUACUAUUGUCCUCGGGAAUAUCAAUAAUAACAAAGUCUGUUAAAAUUGUAACAUUUGCAACCACAACAGGCACAUCGUCACAAAUACCGACAGGUAUAGGAGUUGAUUUAUCAGCCAUUUGCAAAGAUAUUUCAGUAGGUGUCAACUUAUUCAAAUCCAGUCUACGAUAUAAAGAGAGUUGCAUAACACCAACACCGGCUCCAAGAUCACAUAAAGCAGUUUUAACAUAGUUUCUUUUAAUGGAGCAUGGUAUAGUGGGUACUCCUGGAUCUCCUAACUUGUUAGGUAUUCCACCCUUAAAAGUAUAAUUAGCAAGCAUGAUGGAAAUUUCAGCUUCUGGUAUCUUUCUUUUAUUUGUCACAAUUUCUUUCAUAUACUUAGAAUAAGGAUUCAUUUUAAGCAUAUCAGUCAAACGCAUACGCAAAAAGAUAGGUCUAAUCAUUUCAGCAAAGCGCACAAAAUCCUCAUCAUCCUUUUUCUUGGAUGGUUUAGGAGGAAAAGGCAUGGGUUUCUGAACCCAUGGUUCUCUUUCCUUACCGUGCUUCCUAGCAACAAAGUCUCUCUUAUCAUAAGGUGUAUUCUUUGAUUGUGGGUUAUCAAGAUCAACAACAGGUUCAAUCUCUACUUCAUUGUCAUUACUAGGUUGAGCAUCAACAUGAACAUCAUUAUUAACAUUAUCACUAGGUUCAUGCUCAUUACCAGAUUGUGUUUCAGCAUCAGAAAUAGAAAUAUCAUUGGGAUUCUUAGGUGUGUCAACAAUAGGUUCACUAGAAGCAUGCAAAGUCCUAUCAUUUUUUCUUUUUCUUCCUUUUAGAAGGACUAGGUGCAUCUACAUUAUUUCUCUGAGAAUCCUACUCAAUUCUCUUAGGAUGGCCGUCAGGAUACAAAGGUUCCUGAGUCAUUUUACCACCUCUAGUCAUAACUCUAACAGCAUUAUCAUUCUUAUUAUUUAAUUCAUUGAGCAAAUCAUUCUGAGCUUUAAGUACUUGUUCUACUUGAGUGGUAACCAUAGAAGCAUGUUUAUAAAUAAGUUUUAGUUCACCUUUAACAAUAGCCAUAUAACCACUCAAGUGUUCAAUCAUAUAAGCAUUGUUUUUCAAUUGUCUACCAACAUAAGCAUUAAAAUCUUCUUGCUUAACCAUAAAGUUAUCAAACUCAUCUAAGCAUUGGCUAGCAAACUUAGUAGGAGGGAUUUCAUCUUUAUCAUAUCUAUAGAGAGAAUUUACCUUUACUACCUGUGUCGGGUUAUCAAGACCAUGUAUUUCUUUAACAUGCGGUAAAUUGAGACCAUAUAUUUCUUCAAUAGGAGGUAAAUUCUUAACAUCUUUAGCUUUAAUGCCUUUUUCUUUCAUAUAUUUCUUUGCCUGUUGCAUAUCUUCAGGACUGAGAAAUAGAAUACCCCUUUUCUUCAGAGUUGGCUUAGGAGUUGGUUCAGGAAUUGGAUCAGGAAGUGUCCAAUUAUUUUCAUUAGUCAACAUAUUAUUCAAUAGAAUUUCAGCUUCCUCUGGUGUUCUUUCCCUGAAAACACAACCGGCACAACUAUCCAGGUGGUCUCUGGAAGCAUCAGUUAGUCCAUUAUAAAAGAUAUCAAGUAUUUCAUUUUUCUUAAGAGGAUGAUUAGGCAAAGCAUUAAGUAAUUGGAGAAACCUCCCCCAAGCUUGUGGAGACUCUCUUCUUCAAUUUGCACAAAAUUAUAUAUUUCCCUUAAAGCAGCUUGUUUCUUAUGAGCGGGGAAAUAUUUAGCAGAGAAGUAAUAAAUCAUAUCCUGGGGACUACGCACACAACCAGGAUCAAGAGAAUUAAACCAUGUCUUAGCAUCACCCUUUAAUAAGAACGGAAAUAAUUUAAGGAUAUAAUAAUAGCGAGUUUUCUCAUCAUUAGUGAAUAGGGUGGCUAUAUCAUUUAAUUUAGUAAGAUGUGCCACAACAGUUUCAGAUUCAUAGCCAUAGAAAGGAUCAGAUUCAAACACAGUAAUUAUAUCAGGGUUGACAGAGAAUUCAUAAUCCUUAUCAGUAACAAAGAUAGGUGAAGUAGCAUAAGCAGGAUCAUAUUUCAUUCUAGCAUUCAAUUUUUUGUUUCAGCUUAGCUAAAAUUUUCUUAAGAUCACUCCUAUCAUUGCAAGCAAGAAAGUCUCUAGCAGUUUCUUCAUCCAUAACAUAACCCUCAGGAACAACAGGCAAUUCAUAUCUAGGGGAGAAUCUUCAUCAUCACUUUCAUCAAUAUUAUCAGUUUCAAUAAUUUCAUUCUCUCUAGCCCUAGCAAGUUGUUCAUCAAGAAAUUCACCAAGUGGCACAGUACUAUCAAUCAUAGAAGUAGUUUCAUCAUAAGUAUCAUGCAUAGCAGAAGUGGCCUCAUCAAUAACAUGCGACAUAUCAGAAUUAAUAGCAGAAGCAGGUUUAGGUGUCGCAAGCUUACUCAAAACAGAAGGUGAAUCAAGUGCAGAGCUAGAUGGCAGUUCCUUACCUCCCCUCGUAGUUGAGGGGUAAAUCUUGGUUCUUGGAUCUUUCAAGUUCUUCAUAAUGAUAAGCAGAUAUAAAUCCGAAGUGACUCAAAGAAUAGAGCUAUGCUCCCCGGCAACAGCGCCAGAAAAUAGUCUUGAUAACCCACAAGUAUAGGGGAUCGCAAAAGUUUUCGAGGGUAGAGUAUUCAACCCAAAUUUAUUGAUUCGACACAAGGGGAGCCAAAGAAUAUUCUCAAGUAUUAGCAGCUAAGUUGUCAAUUCAACCACACCUGGAAACUUAAUAUCUGCAGCAAAGUAUUUAGUAGCAAAGUAAUAUGAUAGUAGUGGUAACGGUGGUAAAAUGUAACGAUAGCAAAAGUAAUAUUUUUUGGUGUUUUGUAGUGAUGAUAACAAUAGCAACGGAAAAGUAAAUAAGUGAAGAACAAUAUAUGGAAAGCUCGUAGGAAAUGGAUAGGUGAUGGAGAAUUAUGCCAGAUGCGGUUCAUCAUGUAACAGUCAUAACCUAGGGUGACACAGAACUAGCUCCAGUUCAUCAAUGUAAUGUAGGCAUGUAUUCCGAAUAUAGUCAUACUUUCUUAUGGAAAAGAACUUGCAUGACAUAUUUUGUCCUACCCUCCCGUGGCAGCGGGGUCCUAUUGGAAACUAAGGGAUAUUAAGGCCUCCUUUUAAUAGAGUACCACACCAAAGCAUUAACACAUAGUGAAUACAUGAACUCCUCAAACUACGGUCAUCACCGCUAAGUAUCCUGAUUAUUGUCACUUCGGGGUUAACGGAUCAUAACACAUAAUAGGUGACUAUAGACUUGCAAGAUAGGAUCAAGAACUCUCAUAUAUUGAUGAAAACAUAAUAGGUUCAGAUCUAAAAUCAUGGCACUCGGGCCCUAGUGAAAAGCAUUAACAUAGCAAAAUCAUAGCAACAUCAAUCUCAGAACAUAGUGGAUACCAGGGAUCAAACCAUAACAAAACUAACUCGAUUACAUGAUAAAUCUCAUCCAACCCAUCACCGUCCAGCAAGCCUACGAUGGAAUUACUAACACAUGGCGGUGAGCAUCAUGAAAUUGGUGAUGGAGGAUAGUUGAUGAUGACGAUGGUGACGGAUUCCCCUCUCCAGAGCCCCGAACGGACUCCAGAUCAGCCCUCCCGAGAGACUUUAGGGCUUGGCGGCGGUUACGUAUCAUAAAACGUGAUGAAUCCUUCUCCCUGGUUUUUUAUCUCCGAAAGUGAAUAUAUGGAGUCAAGGUUGAGGUCGGUGGAGCGUCAGGGGGCCCACAAGGCAGGGGCGCGCCCAGGGGGUAGGGCGUGCCCCCACCCUUGUGGAUAGGUGGAGGUCCCCCUGACGUGGAUCUUCCUUCCAGUAUUUAUUAUAUAUUCCAAAAUAAUUCUCCGUUGAUUUUUAGGUCAUUCCGAGAACUCUUAUUUCUGCACAAAAAUAACACCAUGGCAAUUCUGCUGAAAACAGUGUCAGUCCGGGUUAGUUCCAUUCAAAUCAUGCAAGUUAGAGUCCAAAACAAGGGCAAAAGUGUUUGGAAAAGUAGAUACGACGGAGACAUAUCACUAACCAACAUUUAAUAUUGUUGAGUACAUAAAUGGGAGAGAACUAAAUAAGUCAUGUGGUGUUCCGUCAAUAUGGAACUCGUUGCAUAUUGAGCUCCACUUAAUUUGUACUAUUGUUUGUGCACUUUGCCAUGCCAUGCCUCUUUAAACCGGACAUGCAUCAUACUUGGUUGUGCAUCAUGCCAUGUUUAUGUGAUGGGUGUUUACUAGGUUUUUUGCUUCUUUCCGGGUUGCUUCUCUUGUUAGCUUCGGUUUCGUUCCGGAGUUGUGAGGAUUUGUUCGUCUACGUCCAUUUGUCUUCUUCAUGGACUCGUUCUUCUUCCUUGCGGGAUCUCAGGCAAGAUGACCAUACCAUCGAAAUCACUUCUAUCUUUGCUUGCUAGUUGUUCGCUCUAUUCCUAUGUCGCGCUACCUACCACUUGCUAUAAAAUGCCUCCCAUAUUGCCAUGUCAAGCCUCUAACCCACCUUCGUAGCAAACCGUUGUUUGGCUAUGUUACCGCUUUUGCUCAGCCCCUCUUAUAGCGCUGUUAGUUGCAGGUGAAGAUAAAGUUUAUUCCAUGUUGGAACAUGGAUUUUGUUGGGAUAUCAUCAUUAUCUCUUAUUUACUUUAAUGCAUCUAUAUACUUGGUAAAGGGUGGAAGGCUCGGCCUUAUGCCUGGUGUUUUGUUCCACUCUUGCCGCCCUAGUUUCCGUCAUACCGGUGUUAAUUUUGCGUUCCUUACGCGGUUGGGUGUUAUGGGAACCCCUUGACAGUUCGCUUUGAAUAAAACUCCUCCAGCAAGGCCCAACCUUGGUUUUACAUUUGCCUAACAACCUAUAACUUUUCCCUUGGGAGUCGCGCCAGUGCUUCUCUAAGUGUUGGUCCGAACCAGAUCCACUUGCAGCGCCACCUUGGGGAAACUUGAGGGUUGGUUUUAGCUGUAUGUAGUGUUCAUUCGGUGUUGCCCUGAGAACGAGAUAUGUGCAGCUCCUAUCGGGAUGUCGGCGCAUCACGCGGUCUUGCUGGUCUUGUUUUACCAUUGUCGAAAUGUCUUGUAACCGGGAUUCCGAGACUGAUCGGGUCUUCCCGGGAGAAGGAAUAUCCUUGACCGUGAGAGCUUGUGAUGGGCUAAGUUGGGACACCCCUGCGGGGUAUAAACUUUUGAGAGCGGUGCCCGUGGUUAUGUGGCAGAUGGGAAUUUUUUAUUAUCCGGUUGUAGAGAACUUGACACUUGAUUUAAUUAAAAUGCAUCAACCGCAUGUGUAGCCGUGAUGGUCUCUUUUCGGCGGAGUCCGGGAAGUGAACACGGUUCUUGUGUUAUGAUUGUGCGUAAGUAGUUUCAGGAUCACUUCUUGAUCACUUCUAGUUCACGACCGUUGCAUUGCUUCUCUUCUCGCUCUUAUUUGCGUAUGUUAGCCACCAUAUUUUGCUUAGUGCUUGCUGCAGCUCCACCUCACUACCUCAUCCUACCCAUAAGCUUAAAUAGUCUUGAUCUCGCGGGUGUGAGAUUGCUGAGUCCUCGUGACUCACGGAUACUUCCAAACAGUUGCAGGUGCCGAUGAUCCCACUGCAGGUGGCGCAACCAAGCUCAAGAGGGAGCUCGAUGAAGAUCUUGAUCGUUGUCUUAUUUCGUUUCCUAUUGAUCAGUAGUGGAGCCCAGUUGGGACGAUCGGGGAUCUAGGUAUUUGGGGUUGUCUUCCUUUAGUUUGGUUCCAUAGUCGGACCUUGAUUGUGCUUUGGAUGAUGUAUGAUUUUUUUAUGUAUUGUGUGAAGUGGCAAUUGUAAGCCAACUCUUUAUCCCUCUCUUAUUCAGUACAUGGGAUGUGUGAAGAUUACCCCUCUUGCGACAAGCCUACCAUGCGGCUAUGCCUCUAAGUCGUGCCCCGACACGUGGGAGAUAUAACCGCAUUGUGGGUGUAACAAUAUUAAACUAAGCAAUGCAUCAGUGUCAAAAAUAACUUUUGCAGGAAAGUCAUUGACAGGAAGAUUACCCAUGAUCACCUCUGAAGAGUCCUCUGCCUGAGCUGCGUUCAUCAUGUUGACCUUUGCAAACUUGGAAUUAUGCUUGACCACUGCAUUGCUGGAAGAUCUCACAGGAGGAGGAGGCGGAAGGCGCCUUUGGUUGAAGCAUUUGUUUGCAUAGUGCCCUUUUUGUUGACACUUGUUGCAAGUAACCCCUGAGAGCGGCCGAUGGUAAGGAGUGAUACGUCUCCGUCGUAUCUAUAAUUUUUGAUUGUUCCAUGCCAAUAUUAUUCAACUUUCAUAUACUUUUUGGCAACCUUUUAUAUUAUUUUUGGGACUAACAUAUUGAUCCAGUGCCCAGUGCCAGUUCCUGUCUGUUGCAUGUUUUUGGUUUCGCAGAAUAUCCAUAUCAAACGGAGUCCAAACGGGAUAAAAACGGACGGAGCUUACUUUUGGAAAAUAUGGAAAAUUCGGAAGGAAAAUCAACGCGAACCAGUGCCUGAGGUGGUCACGAGGCAGGGGGACGCCCCCCCUUAGGGCGUGCCUCCUACCCUCAUGAGCCCACCGUAAGGCGGUUGGCGCUCUUCUUUUGCCGCAACAAAGCUAAUAUUCGGAAAAAAAUCACGGCGAAGGUUUCAGGCCAAUCGGAGUUACGGAUCUCCAUAUAUAUACGGAACGGUGAAACAGAGCCAGGAGAGAACGCAGAAACAGAGAGAGACAGAGAGACAGAUCCAAUCUUGGAGGGGCUCUCGCCCCUCCCGUGCCAUGGAGGUCAUGGACCAGAGGGGAAACCCUUCUCCCAUCUAGGGAAGAGGUCAAGGAAUCAUAAGAAGGAGGGGGGCUCUCUCCCCCUCGCUUCCGGUGGCACCGGAGUGCCACCGGGGGCCAUCAUCAUCACCGCGAUCUACACCAACACCUCCUCCAUCUUCACCAACAUCUCCAUCACCUUCCCCCCUCUAUCUACAGCGGUCCACUCUCCCACAACCCGCUGUACCCUUUACUUGAACAUGGUGCUUUAUGCUUCAUAUUAUUAUCCAAUGAUGUGUUGCCAUCCUAUGAUAUCUGAGUAGAUUUUCAUUGUCCUAUCGGUGGUUGAUGAAUUGCUAUGAUUGAUUUAAUUUGCUUGUGGUUAUGUUGCUGUCCUUUGGUGUUCAUCAUAUGAUUGCGCACGUGGAUCACACCCUAGGGUUAGUUGUAUGUUGAUAGGACUAUGUAUUGGAGGGCAAGAGUGACAGAAGCUUCAACCUAGCAUAGAAAUUGAUGCAUACGGGAUUGAAGGGGGACCAAUAUAUCUUAAUGCUAUGGUUGGGUUUUACCUUAAUGAAUAUUAGUAGUUGCGGAUGCUUGCUAAUAGUUCCAAUCAUAACUGCAUAGAAUUCCAUGUCAGGGAUGACAUGCUAGCAGUGGCCUCUCCCACAUAAUACUUGCUAUCGGUCUAGUAAAGUAGUCAAUUGCUUAGGGGCAAUUUCGCAACUCCUACCACCACUUUUCCACACUCGCUAUAUUUACUUUAUUGUUUCUUUAUCUAAACAGCCCCUACUUUUUAUAUAUGUAAUCUUUAUUAUCUUGCAAACCUAUCCAUCAUCACCUACAAAGUACUUCUAGUUUCAUACUUGUUCUAGGUAAAGCGAACAUCAAGCGUGCGUAGAGUUGUAUCGGUGGUCGAUAGAGGGAAUAUUUGUUCUACCUUUAGCUCCUCGUUGGGUUCGGCACUUUUACUUAUCGAAAACUGUUGCGAUCCCCUAUACUUGUGGGUUAUCAAGACCUUUUUCUGGCGCCGUUGCCGGGGAGCAAUAGCGUGGGUUGAAUAUUCUCGUGUGUGCUUGUUUGCUUUAUCACUAAGUAGUUUUUAUUUGCUGUUCUUAGUUGUUUUAUAUCUUUAUUUAUGGGUAGGAAACACAAAAUACCAAAAAAAUAGUUGCACCUACUAAACCAAUGGUUGAAUAAGCACUCAAAAUCUAUCCCACUGCUGAAGCUUAUUACUUGGAUCAUCUUUGAUCCCUAUGUGCUCGUGCUGAAACCCCAACUAGCUUAGUUGAGGGAAAAUCUUUAGAUGAGCAUGCUUGUUAUGUGCGACACCGUAUAUCUGAAAGAGGGAAAUGUUUAUUGGAUCAAAUCCAUCGGUUGCAAUGCUAUGCUUGGAAUUUAUGUUAUAUAUAUGAUUUUACUUGUUGUUCUAAAAACCCUAAGAAACACCUUCCCUACCAAUGUGAGUUUAUUGAUAAUGGAAUCUUAUCUUCAUACGCUAAGGGUGUUUAUAGUUACUAUGAUGUUCAACAAAUUGAAGAAUUUGUUGCUUUUAAGGGUGCUUAUGAAAUUGCUUCUUUGAUUGAAAAGUAUGAUGCUACUCUUUACCAAUCUGAAAAUUUUGACAUACUUAAAUAUUGUUAUGAUAAUUAUGCUUCUAAUGCCUAUGUUGAACCAUAUAUUGAGUACUACUCCACUUUCCAAGAAGAGACUAAUAUUUUGCAGGAGUCUAUGGAAGAAGAAAUUGAUGAAACUGUGAGCUCAUUGGAUGAAAAAGAUGAGGAGGAGAGCGAAGAACAAAAGGAGGAAGAGCGGAUUAGCUACCCGUGCCCACCUUCUAAUGAGAGUAACUCUUCAACUCAUACAUUGUUUAAUUUCCCUUCGUGCUUACCGGAGGAUGAUUGCUAUGAUGACUAUUAUGAUCCCAUUGAUUCUCUUGAAAUAUCCCUUUUUGAUGAUGCUUGCUAUGCUUGUGGCCAAGAUGCCAAUAUGAAUUAUGCUUAUGGAGAUGAACUUGCUAUAGUUCCUUAUGAUAAAAAAGAAAUUGUUGCUAUUGCACCCACGCAUGAUAGUCCUAUUAUCUUUUUGAAUUCUCCCAACUACACUAUAUUGGAGAAGUUUGCACUUAUUAAGGAUUAUAUUGAUGGGUUGCCUUUUACCGUUGCACAUGAUGAUUUUGAUAUAUAUAAUAUGCAUGUGCUUGCUGCUCCUACUUGCAAUUAUUAUGAGAGAGGAACUAUAUCUCCACCUCUCUAUGUUUCCAAUACGAUAAAAUUGCAAGAAAUUGUUUAUACUAUGCAUUGGCCUUUACUAGGUGUGCAUGAAUUGUUCUUUUAUGACAUGCCGAUGCAUAGAAAGAGAGUUAGACUUCGCCAUUGCUUGAUAUAUGUUGCUUUGUGCUCACUACUAAAUGCCAAAUCAUUGCUAUCUGAAAUUGACUUUGAUAUACCUUGGGAUCCGGGUGGAUUCACUACUUGAGCACUAUAUGCCUAGCUUAACGGCUUUAAAGAAAGCGCUGCCAGGGAGACAACCCGGAAGUUUUAGAGAGUCAUUUAUUUCUGUUGAGUGCUUUCAUAUAGAUUAAAAACAACAAAAAUAAAGAGGGGAACCCAAAACUUUUUCUAAAAGAAAAGUGAAAGUGAGAGAGACGAGCAUUGUGAAAGUGGGGGACGUCCUUGAACUUUCUUCAUGCCCAUGGGAACUUUGUGAAUCUUAAUUACAGAAACUUUUCAAUAAAAAUAAUUAUCCUCUUGUACAAUUCCAUUGUAUUAUAAAAAUAAUGUGCCAAGGUUUGCCUUUAGGAUGUUUACAUUUGCUUGAUGGUUUGUACGGUGCAGGACAGAAACUUUGGCUGUAGUGCGCGAUUUUACUUUUUUAGCUGGAACGUUAAAUGGUUCUGAUUCUUUUUGCACUGUCUUCCUAUACAAAUUUUUUAUUUUUCCUAUUUUUGGUAUAAUUUUUCAAGUAUCAGAAGUAUGGUGAAUGUUAAUAUUAUUACAGACUGUUCUGUUUUAGACAGAUUCUGUUUUCUGAUGCACAGUUUGCUUGUUUUGAUGAAACUAUCAAAUUUAUAUCAGUGGAUUAAGCCAUGAAAAAGUUAUAUUACAGUAGAAAAUAUGCAACAACAAAAUAUGAAUUGGUUUGCAGCAGUACUUAGAGUAGUGAUUUGCUUUAUUAUACUAAUGGAUCUUACUGAGUUCUCUGUUGAAGUUUUGUGUGGAUGAAGUGUUCGAUGAUUGAGAAGGUUUCGAUGUGAGAAGAUGGAAGAGAGGCAAGAGUUCAAGCUUGGGGAUGCCCGAGGCACCCCAAGUAAAUAUUCAAGGAGACUCAAGCAUCUAAGCUUGGGGAUGCUGGGAAGGCAUCCCCUCUUUCUUCAACAAAUAUCGGUAUGUUUUCAGAUUCGUUUCGUUCAUGCAGUAUGUGCAAUCUUGGAGCGUAUUUUGCAUUUAGUUUUCAUUCUUCUUUUUAUGCACCAUGCUGGUAUGAGAUAGUCCUUGGUUGAUUUAUAGAAUGCUCUUUGCACUUCACUUAUAUUCUUUGAGUAUGGCUUUAUAGAAUGCUUCAUGUGCUUCACUUAUAUCAUUUGAAGUUUGGAUUGCAUGUUUCUCUUUACAUAGACAACCGCAAUUUGUAGAAUGCUCUUUUGCUUCACUUAUAUUUGUUAGAGCACGGGCAUAUCUUUUGUAGAAAGAAUUAAACUCUCUUGCUUCACUUAUAUCUAUUUAAAGAGAUGACAGGAACUGGUCAUUCACAUGGUUAGUCAUAAAAUCCUACAUAAACUUGUAGAUCGCUGAAUAUGAUAUGUUUGAUUCCUUGCAAUAGUUUUGCGAUAUAAAAAUGGUGAUACUAGAGUCGUGCGAGUCGAGUAAUUGUGAAAUUGAGAAAUACUUGUGUUGAGGUUUGCAAGUCCCGUAGCAUGCACGUAUGGUGAACCGUCAUGUAACGAAGUCGGAGCAUGAGGUGUUUAUUGAUUGUCUUCCUUAUGAGUGGCGGUCGGGGACGAGCGAUGGUCUUUUCCUACCAAUCUAUCCCCCUAGGAGCAUGCGCGUAGUACUUUUUUUGAUGGCUAAUAGAUUUUUGCAAUAAGUGUGUGAGUUCUUUAUGACUAAUGUUGAGUCCAGGGAUUAUGCGCACUCUCACCCUUCCAUCAUUGCUAGCCUCUCUAGUACCGUGCAACUUUCGCCGGUACGAUAAACCCACCAUAUACCUUCCUCAAAACAGCCACCAUAUCUACCUAUCAUGGAAUUCCAUAGCCAUUCUGAGAUAUAUUGCCAUGCAACUUCCAUCAUCAUCAUAUACAUGACUUGAGCAUUCAUUGUCAUAUUGCUUUGCAUGAUCGUAAGAUAGCUAGCAUGAUGUUUUCAUGGCUUGUCCGUUUUUUGAUGUCAUUGCUAUGCUACAUCAUUGCACAUCCCGGUAAACCGCCAAAGGCACUCAUAUAGAUUCAUAUCUUUGUUAUAGUAUCGAGUUGUAAUAUUGAGUUGUAAGUAAAUAAAAGUGUGAUGAUCUUAUUAGAGCAUUGCCAAAAAAAAGGGGAGAGGCCAAAGAAGCCUAAAUAAAAAAAAGGGGGGCCAAAGAAGCCCACAAAAAAAAGAAAAAAAGGGGGCAAUGUUACUAUCCUUUUACCACACUUGUGCUUCAAAGUAGCACCAUGUUCUUCAUAUAGAGAGUCUCUUGAGCUAACACUUUCAUAUACUAGUGGGAAUUUUCAUUAUAGAACUUGGCUUGUAUAUUCCGAUGAUGGGCUUCCUCAAAUGCCCGAGGUCUUCAUGAGCAAGCAAGUUGGAUGCACACCCACUUAGUUUCAGUUUGAGCUUUCAGUUUGAGCAUCCGUUGCAUGGCAAUCCCUACUCCCUCACAUUGAUAUCUAUUGAUGGGCAUCUCCAUAGCCCGUUGAUACGCCUAGUUGAUGUGAGACUAUCUUCUCCUUUUUGUCUUCUCCACCAUCAUAUUCUAUUCCACCUAUAGUGCCAUGUCCAUGGCUCACGCUCAUGUAUUGCGUGAAAGUUGAAAAGGUUUGAGAACGUCAAAAGUAUGAAACAAUUGCUUGGCUUGUCAUCGGGGUUGUUCAUGAUGUGAAUGCUUUGUGUGGUGAAUAUGGAGCAUAGCCAUGUUAUAUGAUUUUGUAGGGAUGAGCUUUCUUUGGCUAUGUUAUUUCAAUAAGACAUACUUGCUUGGUUGGUAUGCUUGAAGUGUUAUUAUUUUUAUGUCGAAGGAUAGACUAUUGCUUUGAAUCACUUGUGUCUUAAUAUUCAUGCCAUGAUUAGACAUAUGAUCAAGAUUAUGUUAGGUAGCAUUCCACAUCAAAAAUUAUCUUUUUUAUCAUUUACCUACUCGAGGACGAGCAGGAAUUAAGCUUGGGGAUGCUGAUACGUCUUCGUCGUAUCUAUAAUUUUUUAUUGUUCCAUGCCAAUAUUAUUCAACUUUCAUAUACUUUUUGGCAACUUUUUAUAUUAUUUUUCGGACUAACAUAUUGAUCCAGUGCCCAGUGCCAGUUCCUGUCUGUUGCAUAUUUUUGGUUUCGCAGAAUAUCCAUAUCAAACGGAGUCCAAACGGGAUAAAAAUAGACGGAGCUUAUUUUUGUAAAAUAUGGAAAAUUUGGAAGGAAAAUCAACGCGAACCAGUGCCCGAGGUGGUCACGAGGCAGGGGGCGCACCCCCUUAGGGCGCGCCCCCUACCCUCGUGAGCCCGGUUGACGCUCUUCUUUUGCCGCAAGAAAGCUAAUAUUCGGAAAAAAAAUCACGGCGAAGGUUUCAGGCCAAUCGGAGUUACAGAUCUCCAUAUAUAUACGAAAUGGUGAAACAGAGCCAGGAGAGAACGCAGAAACAGAGAGAGACAGAGAGACAGAUCCAAUCUCGGAGGGGCUCUCGCCCCUCCCAUACCAUGGAGGCCAUGGACCAGAGGAGAAACCAUUCUCCCAUCUAGGGAGGAGGUCAAGGAAGAAGAAGAAGGAGGGGGGCUCUCUCCCCCUCACUUUCGGUGGCACCGGAGUGCCACUGGGGGCCAUCAUCAUCACCGCGAUCUACACCAACACCUCCACCAUCUUCACCAACAUCUCCAUCACCUUCCCCCCCUCUAUCUACAGCGGUCCACUCUCCCGCAACCCGAUGUACCCUCUACUUGAACAUGGUGCUUUAUGCUUCAUAUUAUUAUCCAAUGAUGUGUUGCCAUCCUAUGAUGUCUGAGUAGAUUUUCGUUGUCCUAUCGGUGGUUGAUGAAUUGCUAUGAUUGAUUUAAUUUUCUUGUGGUUAUGUUGCUGUCCUUUGGUUCCCAUCAUAUGAUUGCGCGUGUAGAUCACACCCUAGGGUUAGUUGUAUGUUGAUAGGACUAUGUAUUGGAGGGCAAGAGUGGCAGAAGCUUCAACCUAGCAUAGAAAUUGAUGCAUACGGGAUUGAAGGGGGACCAAUAUAUCUUAAUCCUAUGGUUGGGUUUUACCUUAAUGAACAUUAGUAGUUGUGGAUGCUUGCUAAUAGUUCCAAUCAUAAGUGCAUAGAAUUCCAUGUCAGGGAUGACAUGCUAGCAGUGGCCUCUCCCACAUAAUACUUGCUAUCGGUCUAGUAAAGUAGUCAAUUGCUUAGGGGCAAUUUCGCAACUCCUACCACCACUUUUCCACACUCACUAUAUUUACUUUAUUGUUUCUUUAUCUAAACAACCCCUACUUUUUAUUUAUGUAAUCUUUAUUAUCUUGCAAACCUAUCCAACAACACCUACAAAGUACUUCUAGUUUCAUACUUGUUCUAGGUAAAGUGAACGUCAAGCGUGCGUAGAGUUGUAUCGGUGGUCGAUAGAACUUGCGGAAUAUUUGUUCUACCUUUAGCUCCUCGUUGGGUUCGACACUUUUACUUAUCAAAAACUGUUGCGAUCCCCUAUACUUGUGGGUUAUCAAGGAGCACUUGACCUUGGAGUAUGAGACUGAGCUUUGUUCUAAUAGAUUGGGUUGGGUGGGUGGGAAGAUCCAUUGCCACCUUUGCUCUUCUGUUGGUAGGGCUGACGAAACGGAGAAGGAGGAGGCAACCAGAACUUCUGUUGCUGAGCUGCCACUUGUGAGGAAGAAGGUUGAACUGCGUCCCUGAUUCUCUUCUUAGAUGUGUCACACUUGAGGUGAGCAGCUUCUUGCUUUAGUGCCAUGUUGUAGAAUUGAUCAAACUUGGUCGGCUCGAGAAGCACGAGAGCUAACUGCAGAUCCUCUCUGAGGCCACCUCUGAAUUGAUAUAUCAUACUCUUUUCAUCAGGAACUCUUGUUUAGCAAAGUGAGCAAGUUUCUGAAACUGGAUAUUGUAUUGAUACAUAGACAUGCUGCCUUGCUUGAGAUUGCGGAACUCCUCAUGCUUGCUCUCAGCAAUGCUUGGUGGAAUGUGAUGAGCUUUGAUGUCUCGGCGGAAAUCAUCCCAGGUAAUCACACAACCUCCUAUGGAAUCUCUGUAUUGUUGAUACCACUCAGCAGCUUGAUCCUUGAGUUGAAACAAAGCAAACUUGACAAAGUCCUUAGGUAUGACAUUGCUACAUUCAAAAUGUUUGCAAAUGUCCACGAGCCAAUCGUCGACGUCUGUGGCCUCGACACAGUUGCUGAAGGAUUUCGGCUGGUUUGCGAGGAACUGGUUGAGGGUAGCAAACUGAGGCUAAUUGUUGCCUUGACCUUGAUUUCCUUGGUUGCCUUGACCUUGGUUGCACUCUUGCAAGAGUUGCAAUAGCAUCUGAGUAUUGGCGUUGGUGCCUGCCAUGAUAGCUUGCCAUGCCUCCGAAGGUGGAGGUGGUGGCCGAGGGUUCGACUGAUCCCCAUCACCGCGGUCCGGAUUCUGGCGCGUUGGGGGAGCCAUCCUGAAGAGGUUGACAUCCGUUAGAAUUUUGAAAGACAUAUAUUCAAGCUGAAUCAAUGGAUCGAAAUUGCAACAUAUAGUCUUAACAUUCGAACAAGGAUGAACGAAUGAAUUCCAAAGUAAAUCAUCACACGUCCAUUAAGUUGAGAAACCACUUAGAUAAAGGUAGAUGAAUAAAGCAACAAGGUACGGAUAUGAACAAAUAAGUGGUAAGGAUUACCCAAUCACAAACCAAAUAUCUGCGGGAAGAAAUACUAGAGCUACUUGAAUUCCCACCAAUGAAACUCCUGAAACUUUCUGGUUAUGCAAUCAGGUGUUGGGGAUACAGGGGAAGCAUAAUAUCUCACCCAAAACUAACAAAUUCUACAUCCAGCUGUAUCCAUCCUUCAACACAUAACCAAGAAACCUUCGGAAAUCAUUUACCUCAACCUCCGAAAGCAUCCGUUAUACGAGUUAUGGCAAUACUCCCGAAUUCCCGCCCCAGUACUGGGUGGCGUCGUGGUUAUCUCACCAACAACUGCAUAAAAGAGAUUUUCGAUGUAUGCAAACUCAGGUAUUCCAGAACUGCAACGAUAAAAUUGUGACGACAACACCUUGGAGCUCAACUCCCCGGGACACUUCCACAACCCCUAAAUGUCAGGAGGCACCAAGAACAAUGUUCUCGUCACAAAACCAUCAGAACGAUUCCAAGAUACCCGCGUGAUCCUAAUUUUUUUUCAUGAAAUUUGAGGAGAGAAGAGUCAAAACUUCUAUGUCAGGAGGCCUCACCAGAGCGACGAAGGGACUGAGAAGUAAAAAGAAUCCUACUCUCCGAUAUAUAUAAUCCUAAGACUCAAAACAUUUUGUUCUAGACUCAACAACAUCAGUGAUUCGAUCAACACUACAAAAAAAUACACUUCCGUGAUGAUGCGUGUUUGUCACAGUAGGUCGCUUUUUUUGUCAUGCAUGUACAUGCAUGACAAAUUUAUGACAGAAUCAAGAUAGUCAUACCUGUGCUGUCGUAGAAGUGUUCCAUGACAUUACCAAAAUUAUCAUCACGGAAGUGUCCACUUCCAUGACGAUAAAUCGCGCGUCACAGAAGUGCUUUCGUCAAGGGUGACAGACACGUGGCAUCCACCGUAACGGAACGCCGUUAAGCUAUCGGGUCGGGUUUUGGAUCCGAUAACCCAUUAAUAGCCCCGACCAAUGGAGAUUUUCCAAGUGUAAAAUCAUCAUUGGCUAGAGGAAACACGUGUCGGCUCAUCGUCGGGACAGAUGUCAUCCACUCACUGGACAGAAGGCGCCUAUGAUACGUCGACACGUGGCACGACCCAACAAGUUUAAAUGGGCUGGCCCAACUAAAGGCCCACAAGAUUUUGCGGACCAUAAUGGGUCGGCCCAACUAAAGGCCCACGAGAUUUUGCGGACCAUAAUGGGCUGGCCCAGCUAAAGACCCACAAGAUUUUGCGGGCCAUAAUGGGCCGGCCCAGGUAAAGGCCCACAAGAUUUUUGUGUGCCAUAAUGGGCCGGCCCAGGUAAAGGCCCACAAGAUUCUUGCGGGUCAUAAUGGGCCGGCCCAGCUAAAAGCCCACGAGAUUUCGCCAACAUUAAUGGGCCGGCCCAGCUGUAGGCCCACAAGAUUUUGAGGACCCUAGUUAGCCGGCCCAUUAACUGGCUGCCAUGUUUUGGGCCAAAUGCCGACCCAUAUUUGAUCCGGUCCAUUAAUGGCCUGCCAUGCUCCGGGCCUAAUAGUGGCCCAUAUGAGAUCCAGCCUGUUAAAAGCCUACCGCAUUCUCGGCCCUUUAAGAGGCUUUGGGCUCAAUUAUGGCCCAUAUCAGAUUCGGCCCGUCAACUGGACACUAUGCUUUUGGGCCCACUUGCUAAAGGCCCACUUAGUAAUUCGGCCUGAUAUUAGUUUGGCCUGUUAACGGCCCGUUUAACAUUUCGGCCCUAUAUUAAUUUCAGCCUGUUAAAAGCCCGUCAUAUAGUUGGGCCUAACUAUGACCCGGUUUGCAUCCGGCCUGCUCGCAGUCGAUAUCUGAUUGGGCCAAACAAGGACCCAGACAAUUUUGGCCUGUUAAAAACCUAUGAUUUGAUUCGCACAAUCAUGGGCCGGGGUUCAUUUCGGGCUGCUGCAUAACUAGUAGGAAUUAAGAACAAACCUACUCUAUACAAUAAAGAAAUUACGGCAUAGUAACUAAGAAUAAACCAACACUACACAUUAAAGGAUUUAAGGUAUAUUACAUCCACUGGGCAUCAAAGUUUGCCACCAGUGAUCAUAAAGCGCAAUGAAGAAGCAUAUUACAAAAACUGGGCACCAUUGCAGCGUAACAAAAUAAUACUGAACCGAGACCACUUCCAAGACAGUUCAAGAAAGGUUAGCCUUGUGGGGGAACUGCUGCGCAAGCUGCUGAGCAAGGCUGUGAGACCGGCCUAGCAUGUCGGUCAUAGCUUCCAGGUGUAGCUGUUUAGCGAUGAGGUUCUCAUUGGUGUUCUCCGCAAUCUUUCUUAGAGAUAGGACUUCAAGUCGAAGUUGAGUUGCAGAAUGCCUUUCUGCUAGAACUUGGGACUGAAGAAGUCGAACUGAUUCAGACAACGAAUUCUGCGAGCUUGUUUGACUGUUAGUCUCAAGUAACUUGAACACUACAUGAAGACAAGACUUUGGGGUUGUCUCGCUAUCUUCAAGAUGUUUUGCCUUCUUUGCUGCAAUAUAUGUUGGGUUUGUCUCACAGCCUUCAGCAGACUUGUGCAUGCCAUCAGGCAUAUCACCCUGAAACAAAGUAGAGACAUGACAGGUUUUGCACGUGUAUAAACAAAGAUGAUAACUGUUCUGUCAAUUCUAUCCAAUUUCAAAUUGGAAAAUAAAGAGUAUGUUCAAAAUAUCAAUAGCAUAAUUUGGCAUUGUUCAUAAUGCGGGGAGCUUCACCACACUACUGGAUUACCAUGUCAACAUAACAAGCAUAUAUGAAGGGCAAAGAAAAUCAUUGUAUCUAUCUUGGAUAAUGUGCAUGGCAUGUUGUUCAUAUCAUCAGCCACAUCAGUAAGAUAAAACAGGAGAUGACAAGCUGCAAACAUGGGCUGCUUCACCACACACUGGAUUAUAGAUCCACAAAAACAAGCAUACAUAUAGGGAGUAUUAACUAAUGUGCAUGGUAUGAAUAAGGAAUUUGGUUUUACAAGUAAAACUUAGAACUUACGGUUCUUACGAACAUGCAUUUUGGUAGAAACAGCAAACUAAACAGCAGUAAAUGAUAGGGAGUAUGAGCAAAUUAAACAACAGUUGAGGAUAAAGGCUUUAGAAGGACUGACUUACAUUAACAGUUAAUACCAGUUUUAUAAUGCCCUUCUCCAUGGCAAGGGAAGGAUAACUCAAGAAUUUCAGUACAGAAUCUUCUUCAUAAGCAUUGCAUGUACUCUACAUUUUGUAGAGAGUAAUUAUAGAUAUGAUAAUACUGGAAGGGAUAGAGGAUAAUGAAGAUAAGAUGCAGAUUGAUGCUACAUAAUCAACUACCAAUCCCUGGAAGUACAAGCGUUACAGGACAAAAUGUACUGACAAGAGCAAUGGGCUACACUUCUGCACUGGCAUUGUCUGUGUAUUCUACUUGUUGGUAAGAUUAAAUAUAGAUCUGAUCUUUUUUAGUAAAUGGUGGGCGAGGGAGAUAAGAUGCAUAAUGCUACAAAAUGAACCAAUCCCUCUUCCCAUAAUACAAGAGUGUUUUGAACACUGGUGUACUGUACAAAACAUUCUUAUAUUAUGGGACGGAGGGAGUAGCUGUUAAUGUAAGUACAGUGAUAGACCACGUUCAGUCCUUACAAGAGGACUGCAGAGCUAAACCUCUUCAAAA